UCAUUGUAUUAUCUUCCAGUAACCUUAUUCCUUGGCAACUAAUCUUAUUCCCUCUCUGCCCAGGGACCUGACUUCAUGGUGAGGACGGCGAAGAAAUCUAUGCUGGAGGAACUGGAGAGCAUGCUGGAGAUCGUGGACCCGCAGCCUCCAGGGAAGCAGAGGUCGUUCAGCCGCCGCAAGUUUGAUCUUCCUGAGGGCGGAGCGAUCCCGAACGAGAAAACUGCAGGCGUGAACAAUGCUGUCAGGGUCAUCAACACUGGCAAGAGCAAGCAGUAGGCACUAGCGCCUAGUUUAGUGGCUGGUACCAUGGUCGAUCGAUGGAGCUUGUAGCGCCGCCGCGUUGUCUGUGAGAUAGUCCGGUUCAUCUUAGAUUUCCAGUGUCUUUGAGAUUUGAGAAGGAUUGAACUUGUCGUGCACCAUUGUUCGGGAUGUCGUAGCGUGUAUGAUCCGUAUCGUUUUGUUUGGACUUGUUGUACUGUAUGGUGUUGUUGAACUACCAGUAGAAGAGUUUGGUGCUUUAAGUAUCAGCUUCUCUUCUGGCUGCCGCCCUCAUGUUUUGAGCUCCAUGGAAGUUCAGUCCUGGUUAUUUUUAGGGGUGGCAACACAUUAUUCCUAACUUGUAGGGAUAUGCACAGUUUUUCAUUUUUGCACAGUUUUUCUUGGGUUUUCUUGUUUGCCUUUUCUUUUCGGCUUUUAGUUUCUUUCUUUAGUUUUCUUUGUUAGUUUCAACGGUUUCUUUGUUUUUCUUUGUAUCCUUCUUGGUUUUCACUCUUUUGCAUUGGUUUUCUUUGUUUUUUUACUUCUUACAGGGUUUCUUUGUUUUUCUUUGUUUCUAUGUCGAUUUCAUCGGUUUUCUUUUUGUAAUACACAUGUCAACUUUUUUCAGUACACAUUAUAUAUUUUCCAUAUUCGUCAGAAACAUAUUUUAUAUACAUGUUUAACAUUUUUUGAAAAACAAUUUAUUAUUUCUAAUUUUGUCUAUGCACAUUGUAUAUUUUUGGUAUAUAUGUAAUACAAUUUUAUAUACACAUUUUACAUUUAAAAAUACAGGAUUAUCAUUUUUUCAAUACAUGGUUAAAAAAUUCAAAAGACAGAAAAUAUUUUUUCAAUGGCAAAAAAUAUUUUUUCGCAUACAAUGUACAUUUUUGUACUCACCAGGAGCAUUUUUAUACACAGUUAAUUUUUUUAAAUACAUUAUAAACAAUUUUUCAUGCACAUUGUUUUUUUAUAUAUUUGUCGUGUACAUGACAAACAUUAUUUCAAUAAACAUUUAACAUUUUUCAAAUGUUUGAUGAUUUUUUUAAGUGAUUAAUUAACAUUUUUUUAAAUACAUGAUUAACCUUUUCCAUACACAUUGUAGUUUUUUGCAUACAUUUUCCUUAUACAUGAGAAAAUUUUCUCCAUUCACAUUAAAUUUUCCAAAUGCUUUGUUAAGAUUUUUUCAAAUGUUUUAUGUAAUGUUUAUUGUAUUAUAAAUAUUUACAAUAUUUGGAAUUAUAAAAAAACUACAAUAGAAAGCAAUAAAUAAAUAAAUAAUGUUUUAUGUAAUGUUUUAUUUAGUGGAUGAGCUCAGUUCUUACAUGGGUCUCACAUCUCCUUCUCUGUUAAAAAUAAGUAGGGGCUUCUUCCCCCUACCGGUCUAGUUAUUUUAAUAAAUAAAUAAGCAGGAGCAAAAUAGAGAAAAAAAAAACGAGGCAGUGGCCUGUGGCCACCCUCACUGGGCCGGGCCAUUUAAGGAGCCGCUUGCCGUGAGCGCAACUUAGGUGUCGCUAUAAGCCAAACAUUUUUUUAGUCUAAACAUACUUUGCUCUUUUAAGUAAUCAAGUGAUACAAUGUAAGUCCGGAGGAUUUAUGAGCCAAACAUGGCGCCCGACAUCCAAACCAAAAGCAAGUUUAGCGAGACUAUGUGCCUCGAAGUUUGACUCUCUCCCUUCGAAGAUGAAGGUUCAUUAUUGAAAAUUCUUCGAUCUUUCCAAAAUCUCCUUGAUGAUGUUUGUAUAAACGCCUCCAGUGUUGUUCUUGAUGUCAUGAACUACACCUUGGCAGUCUGAUGCCACUAGCACAUGUGAUAGCGCAAGAUCUGUAGACAUGGCGCACCCCAUAGGAGUGGCUUCGCUGAAGCCUACGCGAAUGGGCUAGCCAACUUUGGGCACAAACUGUUUGUUUAUAUUUUCCUCUUCGUUUUUGUCUUCGGUUUUUCACUGAAAAAAUAGCUAUUAUUUUAUAGAAAUAUUUUUGUAACCUAUUAAAAAUACAAAAUUAUAUUUUAAAAAUUAUUUGGUAUAUGUUUUAUGAAAGUUCUGCGUAUAUUAAAAAAUCACCAUUUAUUCAGAAAAUAUUUGCUGUGUAUUAAAAAAUGCUCAUUAUAUAUUAAAAAAUUAAUUGAUAUAAAGUAAAUAUUCAUCAUGUAUAAAAAAAGUUCAGUGUGUGUUUUGAAAAAUGUUCACUUAAUACUAAAAAAAGUUAUUGUCUAUUUGAAAAACUCACCGUAUGCUGAACACAAGUGCAUUUGAAAUUUUUUCACCGUAUAGUACAAACCUAUAAAAUUAGAAAAAAUUGAAAACCCGAAAUAACAGUGAACCCAAGAUCUCCAAAAGAAAAAAAACGGAAAGAGAAGAGAAAAAAAACAAAGUAAAAAAUGAAACAGAAACAGCUAGGUAAGUGGGCCGGUCCAUCUAGAGGUUUUCUUCAGUGAAGGCUCCCCUGUAUGAUGCACACGGGUGGUGAGCGCCGCUUUGCAUCCCUACUAGCUUAUUUUCUUAGAAUUAUUGGAUUAUCGCAUAACAAGGAGAGAGAGGAAUGCAUGAAUAAUGUUGUACGUCUAGUAUUUAUGGUUACUUUAGAUUUGUGGUUAGUUUUGAAUAACACAUAAUAACUUACAUCUCUUUGCCCCAAUAUAUUUCCAAAUUCACUAUCAUUUUAUUGUAAAAAUGGGUAGGCGCGACAACCCGCGCCAUCAUCGUCUAAUAAAUAAUCUAAACCAAAACAAUUGAUUCAGCCAUUGAAUAAAUCUACCGAACAUUGGUCAACCACCCCAUUACUCUUAUCAGAGGAGGAUCUAACUAACUUAAAGUCUCCUCCGAUCAAAGUAUGGCUAAACCAGUAGUUCAUCACAUUAUGUAGUCCCUUGACAAAAUCUAGUUCAUGUUCCUCAUAUGUGGGAGACAUGAAUAUAAAUGAACCUCUUGUCAGCUUUGCCAUCUCUUAGAUUUAUUGGAUUAUUUUAUCUUAACAAGCAGACUGCAUAUCAAGAACAUAAAACAGAAAUCAAACUUUAUUCAACUGCGCAAUUAAGCGGAAUUAUGAAAUUGAAAAAAUUGAGGAAAGCUAGCAGCAUCUCUUUGGGAUGGUGAGGUGGCCGGCCAUGUGCCAGCCCUCUCCUCCGUCAGGGUACAUGUAAGGGCACGCCGGCCUGAAUGGGGUGCUGCCCUUGGCGGCGAGCAUGUUCCACUGCUCAUUGGGGUCGUCGGUGGCGAACUUGGUCCACGUCGGAGUGGAGUACUCGUAGCGACUGUGCGUGAUGCGGUGGAACUCCUGGAUGUCCUUGUUCUUGGUGAUGUCAUCAGUGUCGCGGAGGUCGACCGAAAGGAUGUCGCCGUAGGGCCUAACGGAGUGCAGGAAGACGGGCAUCGAGAUCGGCUCGUUGGAGACGGCGGCGAGGUCGGAGGCGAAGACAAUGCUCCUCAUGUCGGGGCUGAAAAUAGGGUGGUUAACGUGUCCCGCGAGGGUAGCCGAGCUCUGCACCACGCGCACCACCACCGUGGGGUCGCUGACCUUCACCAGGUACACGGCGAAGUAGCCCGCGUCGAGGAAGGCCAUCUCCGGCGCGCUGGCCGGCAUCUCGCGCGUGGAGGAGAAGACGACCCAGUCCCCCUUGGGCGACCAGCUGCAGUGGGUGUCGGUCCACGGCCCGUCGGUGAGCCGUGUCACCGUGCCCUGGCCGAACUCCCCCUCCUCCGCGUCCUCCAUGAUGUAGAGGUUCUUGUGGAACUUCUCUUUGCCGCCGUCCCUCGUGGACCGAAACACAAACUUGUCCCCCUGCGCGUUGCUCGACGGGAAGGCGUUGUUGAAGUUCCCGGCGGUGAGGCGCUGCACCUUCCGGCCGGCGGACGGCCCGGACACGUUGGAGAUGGCGUAGAUCUCCAAUGGCUUGGCGGCGGAGAAGGACGGGCCCACGCAGACGUACAACGUGUCCUUGUCCGGGUUCUGGUUCCACGCCGUUGAGAAGACGCUGUUGGAGCCCCGCUUCUGCAAGUUUUUGUUGGGUGAGAAUUGGUAUUGAUUCUUUCUACUUCUUGAGGGACAAUGGUGGAUAGAUAGAUACGAUACCUCAUAGACGACGCGCAGGCCUUGGGUGUCGGCAAGCCACACGGCCUUGAACUCGUUGUCGACGAAGGCGAGCUUGGCGCCAUCCUUGGAAAUGGUUGGGAACACACCCGACACCCGGAACAGCCCCACAUCUGUGUGAGGGGAGUGCAUCUUGUCGAAGCUCUUGUUAGGGGCAGAAAGAUUAUUCUGCAUCCAUGUCAUGCCAUGUUCAUCGGUAAGUAAUCAUGAUGAUCGAUUGUUUAAAUAUAAUACUCCCUCUGUUCACUUACAUAAGACGUUUUAGCAAAUUCAGACAGUGUACUAAACAGUUCAAACCCAGCUGUCUGAAACGCCUUAUAAAAGCGAAUGGAGGGAGUAGUAUUAUUAUCCAACACUUGUCAUAAUUUUAUCUUGUAUGUGCAUAUAUACAUAUAAUUAUGAUUAAUCAAAUAAGAUAAAAGGUAGCGAAAUAUGUCUAAUUCUAUAGGCAUAAAUAGUUGAUGCUCACUACUUCUAUUUCUUUCAGCAUAUACACACACAUGCCACCUCACAUCCCACUAAUUAUAUUUCUCUCACCAUAUAUGAGAAAUGCUAUUUAUUUUGUUUCUCAAUAUGCAUAUAUCGCAACUCACCACACAUGUCAUCUUAUCAAUCUCACUACAUAUUUUUUUGCGGGGUAAUCCCUGCUUAUAUUUCUCUCUACAUGCAUGAGAAAUACUCCUACUAACAACCAUAUGAUGAUUAAAUAUAAUAAAUCAUGUGUAUUUCCAUUUUCUAUUUUCGUAUCCAAAUCUCAUCAAUAUAUGUUGCAACAAAUUUUCAUAGCAACACGCGGGGCAUCAUUUAUUUAUCUGUCUCAGCUACAUUUCUAAGUGUUCGGAUCAACAUCCAACCAUCCAGAUAUAAAAUCACUAUAUUAAAAUUAACAUGAAAACCAAAAGUUGCACAAAAUGUUUAACUGAAGUUGCACGCUUGAGAGUGUGUAAUUUUAGUUGGUUGAAAUUUAUAAGUAAAUUGAGAAUUAGCAAAAGGGAAGACAUGCGUACCCCAAUGACGAGAUCGUCGGUUCUGACCCGAUGGUAGCCGAUGCGGCUGCCGCCGUCGGCCACGAAAGGGUUGUAGUGGUCGCCUUUCGGCCUGAUCUUCUGGCUGAUCUGCACGGCGGGGCGGUCCGGCGACGCGACGUCGAAGAUCUCGAUGUGGCGGUACUGCGCCUCCUCUCGCGGCGUGGUCAUGGCGGCCUGCCUAGACUUCUGGCGGAUGGCGGCCACGGCGACCCUGGUCUCGCUGAUGGCCGCGGGGGUCAUGGCGUCGAUGGCCUCGGGCGUCACCCGGACGGUCUCCUUGGUGGCCAUGUCGUAGCGGAACACGGCCCAGUUCGUCGGGGACUCGCCGGUCCCUCGGUGGAAGAAGAUGACGUUGUCGCUGCCCCACGUCGGCCACCCGCCGUCCCGGAUGAGGAUCCUGCGGCGCAGGCCGCCCUGCGCCGUCCUGUCCACGUUCAUGACGGCGAUGUCGGUGUUGAGGCGCUCGAUCUCGCCCGUCCACUUGUUCCCGCGGAAGUUGGCCACGGCCACCAUCUUGCCGGAGGGCGACACGGCCGGGCUGACGUCGUACUGGCCUGGCGGGGUGAGGCGCUCGGUCUUGCCGUCGGCGAGGUUGGUCCGGUACACCACGGUCCAGGGCGUGCGGCGCCUCGUCACCGGCUCCUUGGUGGAGACGUAGACGAGGGAGUGGCCGACGGCGCGAGCGCCCACCUUGAAGCCGCCGGCGACGCAGCCGCUGUCCUCCAUCCGCGAGCCGCCGAAGGUGCCGGCGCCAUAGACGUCGCCCAGGCUCAGCACCUUCACCGCACCACCUUCGCCUUUGGGGCGCACAAGGGCCACGUGCAGCGUCUCGAGCCCCUUGUCCCUCUCGGAGACGAAGACGAGGCCGGCGACGCGGCCCUGCUCGGCGUCGUCCGGCGUGGCGCCGCACUCGGCGGCGAGCGCGGGGUUCUUCUUGCCAAGGAACGUGAGGAGCUCCUUGAGCGCGGCCGCCGGGAUGGCCCGGCCGUUCUGGUUGUAGGACACGCCGUCGGUGAGGUGGUGCUCGUCCUCCCGCGAGGACGGCGGCGGGUCGGCCGGGCAGGAGUAGAUGUCCAGUGGCACUGGCGGGCGGUAGGUGCCGAAGAAGGCGAUGCUGCCACGGCCGCUGUCGUCGCUCCCCAUGGCCGGCCGGCGCGGAGUCGAUCGAGCAAGAAUGAAACGAGUUUCUGUUGGUUUGCUCACGCCGGAAGCUGCUUGAUUUAUAAUGACACGCAAGCAGGACUUCAAUACCUUAAAUUAAAAAAAGAACUUAUAGCUGCUGAUAAUAUUUUUUUUUGCACAUAAGCUGAUAAUAAUUUCUAUCCGGUUAUUUUAUAGUACGUACUAAUCAAUGACUAAUGUGUGGUGUGGAUUUUUGGAACCUGGGUGUAGGCGCACCUGAUUAACCAAAAAGAAAUGAAAAAAAAAGUAAAAGAAAUCAAAAGAAAAUGUGAAACUUGUUCGGAACAAGCAUUGUCUAGUGUAUUACUCAAGUGAAAAGUUUCGGGAUAAAAUGAUUUCUAUGGUAGUGUUGGCAAAAAAGUGCCGCACCGCACAUUAGUCAUUGUCUAGUGUAUUACUCAUGUGUAAAAUUUUGGGACAAAAUGGCUUCUGCAUUUUGUUGGCAAAAAAAUUUAAAAAUUGCAAGUAUAAACUGUGUGUAUACCAAGUUUAAUAUACUGCCAGUUUUGUUUUUAUUCGUUCAGAAUGCCACGGAAGUCAUUUUGUCGCGAAACUUUACAUGUGAGUAAACCACUAGACAAUGCUUGUUCGGAACAAUUUUCAAUUUUUUUAAUCAUUUUUUUGAUUUUUAUUUCAAUUUGGGUGCAUCUAGUCCGAGGUUCCGUUGUGUAUUUUCAAUGACUAAUGCCUCAUUAUUAAUCCACUGAUGAGUAAACUAAUAAGUCCCUUGAGUGGUACAUAUAGAGUAAAUGAUUGGUGUUGAUUGUAGUUUGCAUUUAGUCAUAAUUGAAGCCACAAAGUUUCAGUUUUUUUGAUUUUAUUUGCAACUUCUUUUUACUGUUCAUUGUGAAUACAAUGCAGCCAGUUUUCGAAAAACCACACUAUCGCAAACAGUAAUAUCUCUUGUGCUAUCUUAAAACUGUUAUGAUAAGUAGAUGUGAGUAAACCAUCUUAAGAGUUCUGUCUAGAAAGUCUUUAGUUUAGUGGCUGUUUGGGAGAGCUGUGUUCCCGGUCCCAGGGCUGAUGCUUGAUGUGGUUUUGCCUUUUUGCUCUUCUCCUUUUGUGGGUUGCUUGUAAAAAUUGGCGGUUCUAUAAUGAAAACCAUCCAGCGACCUUAGAUUUUGAAAGCCUCACAGUUCUUUUUCUCUCUCACUUCAUUCUCUAGGUUAUGAAAGGUUUUUUGGUGAUAUCGAGGAAUAAAAAAUGCAUGAAUUUCGCAGGAAGAAAAAUGCCUAAAAUUGCCAUUGCAAAACAAUAAAUAGAAGAAAGGCAAAAACCACAUAAAUUUGCAAGGCCAAAAUGUAAACAUUUCCAUGGACCCCCCCCCCCCACUACUAGGGAAAAGCCUAGCAGCAGCGCGGGUUUUAGGCCUAUCAGUAGCGCGGGAAGGAGCGCUACUGAUAAGGCGCUACAGCUAAACCUUAGCAAUAGCGCGCCUAGAUCCACGCUACUACUAAAUUGACUUAGUAGUAGCGGUUCUUCGGAACCGUGCUACUGGUAAUUAGUAGUAGCGCUUCUCCUUUCCCGCGCUACUACUAUUAUUUAGUAUUUUAUUUCUUUUUUAUUUCAUGUUGUAUUCAUACACCUUUACACAAGUUUUCAUACAACAGGAAUUUAGAGAUUGUUUUUACAUCAUAAUGAGUUAUUACAUUGCGGGGUGAAAGAACCGUCGACUAGUUUCAAGUGGAUGUCCAUCCACUAGAAACUAAUCCAUGGUUCUUUCACCCAAUGAUAUAAUAAUAUCAUCAUCAUCAUCAUCAUAUCAUUAACAACUUAUCAUCAUAAUACAUCAUUGUCAUAUAACACCUCCUCAAGAUCAUCGUUUUCAUCAAUGACAUCACAUAGCAAAUUGGUCACUAGUCGUAAUCACAAGUACUCCUCAUUAUCAACUCUAACACAUUACCACAUAAUAAACAUAUUAUACCUCAUAGGACCUACUACAUUCGAUUAAGACCUACUACAUUUUCUAAGGUAAAAUAGCAAAAAACAAGAUAGCCCCUGACUCUCCAUUAUGGAGAAUGGAGAUUAGCCUGUCUCCAAUUCUUGCCUUUCGCUGAAUGUUACUUCCAAGAACCUCCUUGCGAAUGUCCAUACAUUUCUUCCAUUCUUUGAUGAUCAUGUGUUCACCGGUUUUAGAAAUCCGAUAUGCACAGGUGAGCUCCCUAGAUUUACCUGGCAGUAUGUUCAGAACCGAGAGGCGACCAUUCAGAGACAUCAGAUGAGGCACACAAUCCAUCGGGAGUUUCUGUUGAAAAACAUAAUAAUAAAUUCGUAGUUAGCAAUGAUGUACUAGUUUUAGAAGUAUGCAAAAGAUGCACGGAUGUCGUAAUAGUAAAAAAUCUUACCAGGGUAUCUCCAGAGAAGUUACCGUGGUUCAACACAUGCACUAGUGGCACGUAUUCACCAUAAUUUGGAGGAGUUCGAUAAUAGUUAUUGUAAUUCUCAAGAAGAGUACAAAAUGUGAUCAGAUGAUUUUUCUCCUUAUACGUUAAUUCGGUGCCAUCGGUGUAGUCGGUUUUAUCUACCAUCUUCCGCACAGUCUUUGAAGAAUCAAAAUAAGCUGUCAAUGGAAAUAAGCUAUCAACUAUUUUGAAAUAAACAAUAUAAAUUAGUUAAUAACUAUGUUUGAGAAACUCACAUAGCGGUACAACCGGAAGCGUAUCUACAAGGACCCAAAUGUCCAUAUUGUCUUGCUCGAUGUCAGGAUCACCAAGAUCCAUGGUGACAAUCAUAACCUCAUAAAAACCAUACAUUUUGCAAAGUGCUUCCCAAUUUUGGCAACCAAAAUGGGUUACGCUCUGAGCAUUGCACAGAUUUACUUUAAAUCCAUAUCAUGAUGGAUCCUUAGGUGUAUAUUCUUUGUUUCAAAAUUUUCAUGGUCUUCAAAACCCAUCCUCUCCAAGACAAAGCGUCUUGCAUGGCAUGGAAUAAGCUAGUCGAAUUGUAAAAUAUGAAAAUUAGACGUUGAAAUAGUUGAAGUCAUGCUUAAUUACGAAAAAACACUUGUCAUUGUUGCGUACCGUUUUAACAUCGAAGGUCUCCUCGAGCUUAAUGCUGAAGCGCCGAUCUUCGUCCAGCUCAACGAACCUGUCGCACAUACCUCGAUCGUCGUGGCACCAGCUGCACUCCCCCGGGAGACUGUCGUCGUCCGAGUACGACAUUUCCUACGUUCAUAAUUCAAAGAUUAAACUUGUACAUAUUCUAGCACAAGUCAUGCCAGAAUUCACGAAAAAAAUCCGGCAUGACCUUUGCUAAAAAAGGACAUAUCGAGCGCCUAAAAUUUGCCGGAACGAAAAUUAAUCAACACUCCGGCAAAACAUAGGCCACUCGGAGAUGUAAAAUGAACAUGAACGGCCACUUGGGCAACCACAUAUCCUAUUUGAGCAACAACACAAGAUAUACAAGGAUAUUUGGCUGGUCUCACCUCGAUGUCGGAGGGGGUCGGUGACUGGGAUGACGGCGGGGAUGUCGGAGGGGGUCGGUGACGGGGACGACGAUGGUCACCUGAAACCGUAUAAGUUAUCACUAAUACAUCCCGAAUAAUUGCUUAAACUAAAAAAAUAACAACAAAUAUGACAUGUUCAACUAGUUUUAUUAAUUCAACUAGCUCUUACUAAAUAUAAACUUACUAUAAAUAGAAAAAAAACUAGUUCUUUCUAAAAAUAAAGUAGUUCAACUAGUUAUAUUAAUUAUCUUACUAAAAAUACGUUAGUUCUAUUAAUUCAACUAGUUUAUUAAUUUACUUGGUAAACUAGUUCAACUACAACUAAAGUAGUUCAACUACAACUACUAUUAAUCAUACUGCCCUAGUUAACUAGUACCAUCACUACUAGUAAUUAACAUCUACUACUAAAAAUCUAGUACUAAUGUCAACCCUAAAUUAACACCUACUACUACUAAAAAUCUAGUACUAACUAAGAAACAUCUAGUACUAGCUAUGAACCCUAAAUUAACAUCUACUACUACUAAAUCUAGUACUAACUAGUGGCAGGGGGUGGGGGGCGACGGAGAGGUAGCUAGGGGCGGCGAGGGCGGGAUCGGGAUCGGGAGGUGNNNNNNNNNNNNNNNNNNNNNNNNNNNNNNNNNNNNNNNNNNNNNNNNNNNNNNNNNNNNNNNNNNNNNNNNNNNNNNNNNNNNNNNNNNNNNNNNNNNNNNNNNNNNNNNNNNNNNNNNNNNNNNNNNNNNNNNNNNNNNNNNNNNNNNNNNNNNNNNNNNNNNNNNNNNNNNNNNNNNNNNNNNNNNNNNNNNNNNNNNNNNNNNNNNNNNNNNNNNNNNNNNNNNNNNNNNNNNNNNNNNNNNNNNNNNNNNNNNNNNNNNNNNNNNNNNNNNNNNNNNNNNNNNNNNNNNNNNNNNNNNNNNNNNNNNNNNNNNNNNNNNNNNNNNNNNNNNNNNNNNNNNNNNNNNNNNNNNNNNNNNNNNNNNNNNNNNNNNNNNNNNNNNNNNNNNNNNNNNNNNNNNNNNNNNNNNNNNNNNNNNNNNNNNNNNNNNNNNNNNNNNNNNNNNNNNNNNNNNNNNNNNNNNNNNNNNNNNNNNNNNNNNNNNNNNNNNNNNNNNNNNNNNNNNNNNNNNNNNNNNNNNNNNNNNNNNNNNNNNNNNNNNNNNNNNNNNNNNNNNNNNNNNNNNNNNNNNNNNNNNNNNNNNNNNNNNNNNNNNNNNNNNNNNNNNNNNNNNNGCAAUUAGAGCAGUAGCGCGUUUUACGGUGGACGCGCUACUGCUAUUUUCCUUUCAGCAGCGCGUUUUGCUAUCACGCGCUACUGCUAAGUAGCAGUAGCGUUGUAUUUUGAGCAGCGCUGCUGGUAAGUUUCUGUGUAUAGGCUUUUCCCUAGUAGUGCCCCCUCCCCCUAAAUUGCUAUCUCAAACAAUCUUAAUAAAAAUUUAUAAAUUUGCCAGGACAAAAAAAUGUUGUCAUCAUGUUUUUCGAAGAGUUGCCCUCACUACCCCAUAUUUCCAUUCUGAACAGUAAAACAAAAUUGCCACACCCCUAGAUGAGUAUACCAUGUGCAAAUGUGUGUGAAAAAAUGUGGAGUGGCUACCAUGGGUAUUGCAAUGGCGCAAAAAGACCACAAGUUUUCAAAAAGAUUUCAUACACACAAAAAAAAAGAAAAGGUUGCCAUGAUCUUUAAAAAGUGCCAGCGGCAGAUAGUUGCGAGUUGUUGAUAAUAAAUUUGCCAUGAUGUAUGUAACACAAAAAAGAAAAGGUUGCCAUGAUAUUUAAAAAGAACUAGGGGCGGGGGGCAUGUUGUGGAUAGUAAAUUUGCCAUGUCCUAGAUAGUAAAUUUGCCAUGAUGUAUGUAAUACAGAAAAAAAGUUGUCAUGAUCUGUAAAAAGAACUGGAGCGAGAUAGUUGCCAUGUUGUAGACAACAAAAUUUGCCACAUAUCUAGGAUUUGUAUAAAAUAUGCCAUAUAUCUAGGAUUUGAAUAUAGAUAACACAAAAGAAAGGUUGCCAUGAUUUAUGGAGAAAAAAAUCCUAAAAUUUGGCAUGUGACUAGUAUAUUUUUUUUAACAAUUGCCAUGAUUUUUUUGUAAGAAAUGCCAUGAUGUUUGUGCUUUUCCUAAUGUAUGAAUAAUUGCAUUCCAUGACAAGAAAAUUUGGCAUGAUGUAAAAAAAGAUUUGACGGACACAAGAAAUAUCAAAAAUUGACAAGAUUUUAGAAAACAAAUUCCUGAAUAUUUUAGCCAUGUAACCAUUAGACAUUUGCAAAAAGAUACCAUGUAUGAGAACAAAAUUCCAAAAAAUUCCAUGACACUGUUACAUAUUUGCAAAAAACUUACUAUGUACAAUAGAACGAAAGUUCCUAGACUUUCCAUGUGGCCAUCAUAAACAACUAUAAAAUAUCUCUUCUUUGUUUCCUUGGAGUGCAGGUACUUUUCACCAAUAUUUUCGCCACUGUAAGGGCUUCUUUGUGUUUCUCCGAGAAAUUUGGGAUCCUUCACUAUUUUGGCAGUGUUUUGUGGAAAAAGGGCCACCACCCUCAUUUUGGGUCGUAUAAGGCCCGGGGGCACAAUGAGAGCUGGGGUUGUAGAAAAACAUUGUAAGUUUAACCUAUAGGAAAAUAUCAGCAACCACAAUACCAAAUCAAUAUCUAUGAUGAAUACAUUUUCAUAAUGUAUUUAAUGGUACUAUAUAGACUGGUAUUUUCUGGGACACCUGGUAUUUUAACAGUUUUGACUUGAGACUAGAUGAAUAUGCCUUGUAAUCCAGAAUGAAGGGCAUAGUUGUUGUAGUAUUUAGUUUGGCCAGCCAAUUUUGAUAAAGAUAGUGUUGGGGAACAUAGCAGAAAUUCAAAAUUUUCCUACGUGUCACCAAGAUCUAUCUAUGGAGAGACUAGCAACGAGGGGAAGGAGAGUGCAUCUACAUACCCUUGUAGAUCGCUAAGCGGAAGCGUUCAAGUGAACGGGGUUGAUGGAGUCGUACUCGUCGUGAUUCAGAUCACCGAUGAUCCUAGUGCCGAACGGACGGCACCUCCGCGUUCAACACACGUACGGAACGGAGACGUCUCCCACGCCUUGAUCCAGCAAGGAGGAGGGAGAGGUUGAUGGAGAUCCAGCAGCACGACGGCGUGGUGGAAGUAGCGGGAUUCCAACAGGGCUUCGCUAAGCGCUGCGGGAGGAGGGAGAUGUAUCACGGGAGGGAGAGGGAGGCGCCAGGCCUUAGGUCUGAUUGCUCCUCCUUUUCCCCACUAUAUAUAGGGCCAAGGGAGAGGGGAAGGGCGCAGCCUUGCCCCUUCCUCCAAGGAAGGGUGCGGCCAAGGGUGGGGAGGAGUCCAUCCUCCCCAAGGCACCUCGGAGGUGCCUUCCCCCUUUAGGACUCUCCCCUCUUUUUCCUCUCUUGGCGCAUGUGCCUCUUGGGGCUGGUGCCCUUGGCCCAUGUAGGCCAAGGCGCACCCCCUACAGCCCAUGUGGCCCCCCGGGGCAGGUGGCCCCACCCGGUGGGCCCCCGGGACCCUUCUGUGGUCCCGGUACAAUACCGAUGACCCCGAAACUUGUCCCGAUGGCCGAAACAGGACUUCCUAUAUAUAAAUCUUUACCUCCGGACCAUUCCGGAACUCCUCGUGACGUCCGGGAUCUCAUCCGGGACUCCGAACAACUUUCGGGUUACCGCAUACUAAUAUCUCUAUAACCCUAGCGUCACCGAACCUUAAGUGUGUAGACCCUACGGGUUCGGGAGACAUGUAGACAUGACCGAGACGUUCUCCGGUCAAUAACCAACAGCGGGAUCUGGAUACCCAUGUUGGCUCCCACAUGUUCCACGAUGAUCUCAUCGGAUGAACCACGAUGUCAAGGACUCAAUCAAUCCCGUAUACAAUUCCCUUUGUCUAGCGGUAUGGUACUUGCCCGAGAUUCGAUCGUCGGUAUACCGAUACCUUGUUCAAUCUCGUUACCGGCAAGUCUCUUUACUCGUUCCGUAACACAUCAUCCCGUGAUCAACCCCUUGGUCACAUUGUGCACAUUAUGAUGAUGUCCUACCGAGUGGGCCCAGAGAUACCUCUCCGUUUACACGGAGUGACAAAAUCCCAAUCUCGAUUCGUGCCAACCCAACAGACACUUUCAGAGAUACCCGUAGUGUACCUUUAUAGCCACCCAGUUACGUUGUGACGUUUGGCACACCCAAAGCACUCCUACGGUAUCCGGGAGUUGCACAAUCUCAUGGUCUAAGGAAAUGAUACUUGACAUUAGAAAAGCUUUAGCAUACGAACUACAUGAUAUUGUGCUAGGCUUAGGAUUGGGUCUUGUCCAUCACAUCAUUCUCCUAAUGAUGUGAUCCCGUUAUCAACGACAUCCAAUGUCCAUGGUCAGGAAACCGUAACCAUCUAUUGAUUAACGAGCUAGUCAACUAGAGGCUUACUAGGGACAUGGUGUUGUCUAUGUAUCCACACAUGUAUCUGAGUUUCCUAUCAAUACAAUUCUAGCAUGGAUAAUAAACGAUUAUCAUGAACAAGGAAAUAUAAUAAUAAUCAAUUUAUUAUUGCCUCUAGGGCAUAUUUCCAACAGUCUCCCACUUGCACUAGAGUCAAUAAUCUAGUUCACAUCGAUAUGUGAUUAACACUCAAGGUCACAUCACCAUGUGACUAACACCCAAAGAGUUUACUAGAGUCAAUAAUCUAGUUCACAUUUACCAUGUGAUUAACACUCGAUGAGUUCUGGGUUUGAUCAUGUUAUGCUUGUGAGAGAGGUUAUAGUCAACGGGUCUGAACCUUUCAGAUCCGUGUGUGCUUUACAAAUCUCUAUGUCAUCUCCUAGAUGCAGCUACCACGUUCUAUUUGGAGCUAUUCCAAAUAACUGUUCUACUUGGAGCUAUUCUAAAUUGUUGCUCCAUUAUACGUAUCCGGUAUCUCUACUCAGAGCUAUCCGGAUAGGUGUUAAGCUUGCAUCGACGUAACCCUUUACGACGAACUCUUUUACCACCUCCAUAAUUGAGAAAAUUCCUUAGUCCACUAGUUACUAAGGAUAACUUUGACCACUGUCCUGUGAUCCAUUCUUGGAUCACUCUUGUACCCCUUGACUGACUCAUGGUAAAGCACACUUCAGGUGCAGUACACAGCAUAGCAUACUAUAGAGCCUAUGUCUUAAGCAUAGGGGACGACCUUCGUUCCUUUCUCUCUAUUCUGCCAUGGUCGAGCUUUAAGUCUUAACUUCAUACCUUACAACUCAGGCAAGAACUCCUUUGACUGAUCCAUCUUGAACACCUUCAAGAUCACGUCAAGGCAUGUGCUCAUUUGGAAGUACUAUUAAGCGUUUUGAUCUAUCCUUAUAGAUCUUGAUGCUCAAUGUUCAAGUAGCUUAAUCCAGGUUUUCCAUUGAAAACACUUUCCAAAUAACCCUAUAUGCUUUCCAGAAAUUCUACGCCAUUUCUGAUCAUUAAUAUGUCAACAACAUAUACUCAUCAGAAAUUCUAUAGUGCUCCCACUCACUUCUUUGGAAAUACAAGUUUCUCAUAAACUUUGUAUACACCCAAAAUCUUUGAUCAUCAUCAAAGCAUACAUUCCAACUCCGAGAUGCUCACUCCAGUCCUCAGAAGGAUUGCUGGAGCUUUGCAUACUUAUUAGCAUAUUUCAGGAUAGACAAAACCUUCCGGUUGUAUCAUAUACAACCUUUCCUCAAGAAUCGUCGAGGAAACAAUGUUUUGACAUCCUAUCUGCAAGAUUUCAUAAAUAAUGCAGCAAUUGCUAAUAUAAUUCCAACAGACUCUUAGCAUCGCUACGAGUGAGAAAGUCUCAUCGUAGUCAACUCCUUGAACUUGUCGAAAAACAUCUUAACGACAAGUCGAGCUUUCUCAAUGGUGACACUUACCAUCAUUGUCUGUCUUCCUUUCAAAAUCCAUAUGUACCUAACAGCCUUACGACCAUCAAGUAGUUCUUCCAAAGUCUACACUUUGUUUUCAUAUAUGGAUCCUCUCUCGGAUUACAUGGCCUCGAGCCAUUUAUCGGAAUCCGGGCCCACCAUCGCUUCUCCAUAGCUCGUAGGUUCAUUGUUGUCUAGCAACAUGACUUCCAAGACAGGAUUACGUACCACUCUAAAGUAGUACGCAUCCUUGUCAUCCCACGAGGUUUGGUAGUGACUCGAUCCGAAGUUUCAUGAUCACUAUCAUAAGCUUCCACUUCAGUUGGUGUACGUGCCACAGGAACAACUUCCUGUGCCCUGCUACACACUUGUUGAAGUGACGGUUCAAUAACCUCAUCAAGUCUCCACCAUCCUCCUACUCAACUUUUCGAGAGAAACCUUUCCUCGAAAAAGGACCCGAUUCAAGAAACAAUCCCUAUUGCUUUCGGAUCUGAAUUAGGAGGUAUACCCAACUGUUUUUGGGUGUCCUAUGAAGAUGCAUUUUAUCUGCUUUGGGUUCGAGCUUAUCAACCUGAAACCUUUUCACAUAAGCGUCGCAGCCCCAAACUUUCAAGAAACGGCAACUUAGGUUUCUCCAAACCAUAGUUCAUACGGUGUCGUCUCAACGAAAUUAUGUGGUGCCCUAUUUAAAGUGAAUGUGGUUGUCUCUAAUGCCUAACCCAUGAACGAUAGUGGUAACUCGAUAAGAGACAUCAUGGUAUGCACCAUAUCCAAUAGGGUGCAACUAUGACGUUUGGACACACGAUCACACUAUGGUGUUCCAGGCUGUAUCAGUUGUGAAACAAUUUCCACAAUGUCUUAAUUCUGUGCCAAACUCGUGAUUCAGAUAUUCAUCUCUAUGAUCAUAUCAUAGAUCUUUUAUCCUCUUGUCACGACGAUCUUUCAACUUCACACUGAAAUUACUUGAACCUUUCAAUAAUUCAGACUCGUGAUUCAUCAAGUAAAUAUACUCAACAUCUACUUGAAUCAUCUGUGAAGUAAGAACAUAACGAUAUUCACUGCAUGCCUCAGCACUCAUUGGACUGCACACAUCAAAAUGUGUUACUUCCAACAAGUUGAUAUCUUGUUCCAUCUUACUGAAAACGAGGCUUUUCAGUCAUCUUGCCCAUGUGGUAUGAUUUGCAUGUCCCAAGUGAUUCAAAAUCAAGUGAGUCAAAACGGUCCAUUUGCAUGGAGUUUCUUCAUGCAUAUACACCAAUAGACAUGGUUCGCAUGUCUCAAACUUUUCAAAAACGAGUGAGCCCAAAGAUCCAUCAAUAUGGAGCUUCUUCAUGCGUUUUAUACCGAUAUGACUUACGUGGCAGUGCCACAAGUAGGUGGUACUAUCAUUACUAUCUUUUGGCAUGAACAUGUGUAUCACUACGAUCUAGAUUUAAUAAACCAUUCAUUUUAGGUGUAAGACCAUUGAAGGUAUUAUUCAAAUAAACAGAGUAACCAUUAUUCUCCUUAAAUGAAUAACCGUAUUGCGAUAGACGUAAUCCAAUCAUGUCUAUGCUCAACGCAAACACCAAAUAACAAUUAUUUAGGUUUAACACCAACCUCUUUGGUAGAGGGAGCGUGCGAUGCUUGAUCAUAUCAAGCUUGGAAAAAACUUCCAACACAUAUCGUCAGCUCACCUUUAGCUAGUCUCCGUUUAUUCCGUAGCCUUUUGUUUCGAGUUACUAACACUUAGCAACCGAACCGGUAUCUAAUACCCUGGUGCUACUAGGAGUACUAGCAAAGUACACAUUAACACAAUGUAUAUCCAAUAUACUUCUAUCGACCUUGCCAGCCUUCUUAUCUACCAAGUAUCUAGGGUAAUUCUGCUCUAGUGGUUGUUCCCCUUAUUACAGAAGCACUUAGUCUCGGGUUUGGGUUUUACCUUGGGUUUCUUCACUAGAGCAGCAGCUGAUUUUCCGUUUCAUGAAGUAUCCCUUCUUGCCCUUGCCCUUCUUGAAACUAGUGGUUUCACCAACCAUCAAAAAUUGAUGCUCCUUCUUGAUUUCUACUUUCGCGGUGUCAAACAUCGCGAAUACCUCAAGGAUCAUCAUAUCUAUCCCUGAUAUGUUAUAGUUCAUCACGAAGCUCUAACAGCUUGGUGGCAAUGACUUUGGAGAACCAUCACUGUCUUAUCUGGAAGAUCAACUCCCACUCGAUUCAAAUGAUUGUUGUACUCAGACAAUCUGAGCACAAGCUCAACAAUUGAGCUUUUCUCCUUAGUUUGCAGGUUAAGAAAGUCAUCGGAGGUCUUAUACCUCUUGACAUGGGCACGAGCCUGAAAUCCCAAUUUCAGCCCUCAAAACAUCUCAUAUGUUUCGCGAUGUUUCAAAAACGUCUUUGGUGCCUCAACUCUAAACCGUUUAACUGAACUAUCACGUAGUUAUCAAAACGUGUACGUCAGAUGUUCGCAACAACCACAGACAACGUUCGAGGUUCAGCACACUGAGCGGUGCAUUAAGGACAUAAGCCUUCUAUGAAGCAAUGAGGACAAUCCUCAGUUUACGGACCUAGUCCGCAUAAUUGCUACUAUCAACUUUCAACUAAUUUUUCUCUAGGAACAUAACUAAACAGUAGAACUAUAGCGUGAGCUACGACAUAAUUUGCAAAAACCUUUUGACUAUGUUCAGGAUAAUUAAGUUCAUCUUAUGAACUCCCACUCAGAUAGACAUCCCUCUAGUCAUCUAAGUGAUUACAUGAUCCGAGUCAAACUAGGCCGUGUCCGAUCAUCACGUGAGACGGACUAGUCAUCAUCGGUGAACAUCUUCAUGUUGAUCGUAUCUUCUAUACGACUCAUGUUCGACCUUUCGGUCUCCGUGUUCCGAGGCCAUGUCUGUACAUGCUAGGCUCAUCAAGUUAACCCUAAGUGUUUCGCGUGUGUAAAUCUGUCUUACACCCGUUGUAUGUGAACGUUAGAAUCUAACACCCGAUCAUCACGUGGUGCUUCGAAACACGAACUGUCGCAACGGUGCACAGUUAGGGGAGAACACUUCUUGAAAUUGUUGUUAGGGAUCAUCUUAUUUACUACCGUCGUUCUAAGCAAAUAAGAUGUAUAAACAUGAUAAACAUCACAUGCAAUCAAAUAGUGACAUGAUAUGGCCAUCAUCACUUUGCUCCUUUUGAUCUCCAUCUUCGGGGCUCCUUGAUCAUCAUCGUCACCGACAUGACACCAUGAUCUCCAUCAUCAUGAUCUCCAUCAUCGUGUCUUCAUGAAGUUGCCUUGCCAACUAUUACUUCUACUACUAUGGCUAACGGUUAGCAAUAAAGUAAAGUAAUUACAUGACGUUUAAGUUGACACGCAGGUCACAAAUAAAUAAACACAACUCCUAUGGCUCCUGCCGGUUGUCAUACUCAUCGACAUGCAAGUCGUGAUUCCUAUUACAAGAACAUGAUCAAUCUCAUACAUCACAUAUAUCAUUCAUCACAUCCUUUUUGGCCAUAUCACAUCACAUAGCAUACCCUGCAAAAACAAGUUAGACGUCCUCUAAUUGUUGUUUGCAUGUUUUACGUGGCUGCUAUGGGUUUCUAGCAAGAACGUUUCUUACCUACGCAUGAACCACAACGUGAUAUGCCAAUUGCUAUUUACCCUUCAUAAGGACCCUUUUCAUCGAAUCCGAUCCGACUAAAGUGGGAGAGACAGACACCCGCCAGCCACCUUAUGCAACUAGUGCAUGUUUGUCGGUGGAACCGGUCUCACGUAAGCGUACGUGUAAGGUUGGUCCGGGCAGCUUCAUCCCACGAUGCCGCCGAAUCAAGAUAAGACUAGUAACGGCAAGCAUAUUGAACAAUAUCGACGCCCACAACUACUUUGUGUUCUACUCGUGCAAAGAAUCUACGCAAUAGACCUAGCUCAUGAUGCCACUGUUGGGGAACGUAGCAGAAAUUCAAAAUUUUCCUACGUGUCACCAAGAUCUAUCUAUGGAGAGACUAGCAACGAGGGGAAGGAGAGUGCAUCUACAUACCCUUGUAGAUCGCUAAGCGGAAGCGUUCAAGUGAACGGGGUUGAUGGAGUCGUACUCGUCGUGAUUCAGAUCACCGAUGAUCCUAGUGCCGAACGGACGGCACCUCCGCGUUCAACACACGUACGGAACGGAGACGUCUCCCACGCCUUGAUCCAGCAAGGAGGAGGGAGAGGUUGAUGGAGAUCCAGCAGCACGACGGCGUGGUGGAAGUAGCGGGAUUCCAACAGGGCUUCGCUAAGCGCUGCGGGAGGAGGGAGAUGUAUCACGGGAGGGAGAGGGAGGCGCCAGGCCUUAGGUCUGAUUGCUCCUCCUUUUCCCCACUAUAUAUAGGGCCAAGGGAGAGGGGAAGGGCGCAGCCUUGCCCCUUCCUCCAAGGAAGGGUGCGGCCAAGGGUGGGGAGGAGUCCAUCCUCCCCAAGGCACCUCGGAGGUGCCUUCCCCCUUUAGGACUCUCCCCUCUUUUUCCUCUCUUGGCGCAUGGGCCUCUUGGGGCUGGUGCCCUUGGCCCAUGUAGGCCAAGGCGCACCCCUACAGCCCAUGUGGCCCCCCGGGGCAGGUGGCCCCACCCGGAACCCUUCCGGUGGUCCCGGUACAAUACCGAUGACCCCGAAACUUGUCCCGAUGGCCGAAACAGGACUUCCUAUAUAUAAAUCUUUACCUCCGGACCAUUCCGGAACUCCUCGUGACGUCCGGGAUCUCAUCCGGGACUCCGAACAACUUUCGGGUUACCGCAUACUAAUAUCUCUAUAACCCUAGCGUCACCGAACCUUAAGUGUGUAGACCCUACGGGUUCGGGAGACAUGUAGACAUGACCGAGACGUUCUCCGGUCUAUAACCAACAGCGGGAUGUGGAUACCCAUGUUGGCUCCCACAUGUUCCACGAUGAUCUCAUCGGAUGAACCACGAUGUCAAGGACUCAAUCAAUCCCGUAUACAAUUCCCUUUGUCUAGCGGUAUGGUACUUGCCUGAGAUUCGAUCGUCGGUAUACCGAUACCUUGUUCAAUCUCGUUACCGGCAAGUCUCUUUACUUGUUCCGUAACACAUCAUCCCGUGAUCAACCCCUUGGUCACAUUGUGCACAUUAUGAUGAUGUCCUACCGAGUGGGCCCAGAGAUACCUCUCCGUUUACACAGAGUGACAAAAUCCCAAUCUCGAUUCGUGCCAACCCAACAGACACUUUCAGAGAUACCCGUAGUGUACCUUUAUAGCCACCCAGUUACGUUGUGACGUUUGGCACACCCAAAGCACUCCUACGGUAUCCGGGAGUUGCACAAUCUCAUGGUCUAAGGAAAUGAUACUUGACAUUAGAAAAGCUUUAGCAUACGAACUACAUGAUCUUGUGCUAGGCUUAGGAUUGGGUCUUGUCCAUCACAUCAUUCUCCUAAUGAUGUGAUCCCGUUAUCAACGACAUCCAAUGUCCAUGGUCAGGAAACCGUAACCAUCUAUUGAUUAACGAGCUAGUCAACUAGAGGCUUACUAGGGACAUGGUGUUGUCUAUGUAUCCACAAAUGUAUCUGAGUUUCCUAUCAAUACAAUUCUAGCAUGGAUAAUAAACGAUUAUCAUGAACAAGGAAAUAUAAUAAUAAUCAAUUUAUUAUUGCCUCUAGGGCAUAUUUCCAACAGAUAGUACAUCUUACUGUGAAUUACUAAGAGAAGUGUGCCUUCAUGAUCAUGAAUAGCCAUUAAGAUGCUUAGGGCACUCCAAUUGCAUUGGCUUUUUGUGCGUUCAUAGGUGGUGAACAAAAUAUUAGAGACCAUGAUCUGGUGUAUGUACUAUAUUUAAGUGAUGUUGCACAUUGAUUUAGGGAUUAGGAUUGCAGCUAAAAAUUGUGGUUUGGUUACAAAUAUGAGGAAGUGAGAGAAUGAUAGGAAGAGAAGCCACACAAGAUCUGAGUAUUAUUACAUUGCAAAAUGAAACGAGCUAAGACCUGUAUCUGCACUAACAUAUAACUCCCUAUUAUCUCUUCAUAAUUAUUAUGGCUUGUCAGCAUUUACUUAUGAAAAUGUGCUAAAGAACAAGCACUAGGAGUGCCCUGAUAAACAACUAUUCUAUCCCAUGUAAAAUGUGAGACCUCCAUGCAUGUAUUCAAGUAUUUAGAGUUUAAGUAAUAAUUAUAGCAAUAUCAUAUGGAUUAUGUGGUGCGAAACUAGUAUCGAUAAUUUUUUUAUGAAUCGGAUGAUACUUUUUUUGUAAUGUAACUACAUUAGUGUAAAAUUAAUAAUUAAAGUUGAAUGUCAGGAUACGUAGGAGUCUUACAUUAUAAGAAAAAAGGUGCUACUGUGUAUAUUUAUAGAGCUAGACCUCGCUCCGCUCUGUACCUAUUUAGGGUUCUAUUUUCUCAUUCGCACAUUUUCCAGUUUAAUUUCAACUGUCCCAUGACUAUAGGGUCUCGAAAAUAAUGAUUGCUCUAGAUAAAACUAAGCAAUAAUGCAUUGUGUAACAUGUUUUAUUGUCUUCUCUAAAUAAUUACUUUGACCUUUAAUUUCUAAGAAUCUUCUCAAUAUAACAGAUGAAAGGAACACAGAAUUUUGAAGAUUAGUCAAUGAGUGAAUCGGAAAGAAAGGAGUGUAAAACUUCGAUCAACUAGCUUUCAAACAAAAAAGCCUUUGAUCAACUCAUGGUUGUCAUGUUGCUGUAAGUAAUAUUAACAUAUAAGAGUGUCAUAUCAACUACUCCCUCCAUUCCAAAAUUACUCGUCAUCAUUUUAGUUCAAAUUUGAAUUAAAACUAUGAUGAGUAAUUUGGAACGGAGGGAGUACUGUACAUGCUCUAAUUUUUUUCUUUUAAAUAUGCAUUUCUAAUAUACGGUGUAGAAACAGUUUCAUGCAUUACGCAUCCCUGCAUUUCUAAUGUAUGAUGUUGAAGAAUAGUUUCCAUGCAUUACGCAUCCCUGCAUCUCUGUAUCUUAAUUACCAAUUAAAUAGGACCACGGAAUGGACGAAAUAGAGAGGAACGGCGAGUCAGGUCGUAUACAGCCGGGUAGAAGAUAAGAUUUGCGGUCCUGGAUCUGGAUGUGAUAAGAUUUGCCAUGAUGUAUGUAACACAAAAAAAGAAAACGUUGCCAUGAUAUUUAAGAAGAACUAGGGGUGGGGGGCAUGUUGUGGAUAGUAAAUUUGCCAUGUCCUAGAUAGUAAAUUUGCCAUGAUGUAUGUAAUACAGAAAAAAAAAGUUGUCAUGAUCUGUAAAAAGAACUGGAGCGAGAUAGUUGCCAUGUUGUAGACAACAAAAUUUGCCACAUAUCUAGGAUUUGUAUAAAAUAUGCCAUAUAUCUAGGAUUUGAAUAUAGAUAACACAAAAGAAAGGUUGCCAUGAUUUAUGGAGAACAAAAAUCCUAAAAUUUGGCAUGUGACUAGUAUAUUUUUUUUUAACAAUUGCCAUGAUUUUUUUGUAAGAAAUGCCAUGAUGUUUGUGCUUUUCCUAAUGUAUGAAUAAUUGCAUUCCAUGACAAGAAAAUUUGGCAUGAUGUAAAAAAAGAUUUGACGGACACAAGAAAUAACAAAAAUUGACAUGAUUUUAGAAAACAAAUUCCUGAAUAUUUUAGCCAUGUAACCAUUAGACAUUUGCAAAAAGAUACCAUGUAUGAGAACAAAAUUCCAAAAAAUUCCAUGACACUGUUACAUAUUUGCAAAAAACUUACUAUGUACAAGAGAACGAAAGUUCAUAGACUUUCCAUGUGGCCAUUAUAAACAACUAUAAAAUAUCUCUUCUUUGUUUCCUUGGAGUGCAGGUACUUUUCACCAAUAUUUUCACCACUGUAAGGGCUUCUUUGUGUUUCUCCGAGAAAUUUGGGAUCCUUCAAUAUUUUGGUAGUGUUUUGUGGAAAAAGGGCCACCACCCUCAUUUUUGGGUCGUAUAAGGCCCGGGGGCACAAUGAGAGCUGGGGUUGUGGAAAAACAUUGUAAGUUUAACCUAUAGGAAAAUAUCAGCAACCACAAUACCAAAUCAAUAUCUAUGAUGAAUACAUUUUCAUAAUGUAUUUAAUGGCACUAUAUAGACUGGUAUUUUCUGGGACACCUGGUAUUUUAACAGUUUUGACUUGAGACUAGAUGAAUAUGCCUUGUAAUCCAGAAUGAAGAGCAUAGUUGUUGUAGUAUUUAGUUUGGCCAGCCAAUUUUGAUAAAGAUAGUACAUCUUACUGUGAAUUACUAAGAGAAGUGUGCCUUCAUGAUCAUGAAUAGCCAUUAAGAUGCUUAGGGCACUCCAAUUGCAAUGGCUUUUUGUGCGUUCAUAGGUGGUGAACAAAAUAUUAGAGACCAUGAUCUGGUGUAUGUACUAUAUUUAAGUGAUGUUGCAUUUCAUUGAUUUAGGGAUUAGGAUUGCCGCUAAAAAUUGUGGUCUGGUUACAAAUAUGAGGAAGUGAGAGAAUGAUAGGAAGAGAAGCCACACAAGAUCUGAGUAUUAUUACACUACAAAAUGAAACGAGCUAAGACCUGUAUCUGCACUAACAUAUAACUCCCUAUUAUCUCUUCAUAAUUAUUAUGGCUUGUCAGCAUUUACUUAUGAAAAUGUGCUAAAGAACAAGCACUAGGAGUGCCCUGAUAAACAACUAUUCUAUCCCAUGUAAAAUGUGAGACCUCCAUGCAUGUAUUCAAGUAUUUAGAGUUUAAGUAAUAAUUAUAGCAAUAUCAUAUGGAUUAUGUGGUGCGAAACUGGUAUCGAUAAUUUUUUUAUGAAUCGGAUGAUACUUUUUUUGUAAUGUAACUACAUUAGUGUAAUAUUAAUAAUUAAAGUUGAAUGUCAGGAUACGUAGGAGUCUUACAUUAUAAGAAAAAAGGUGCUACUGUGUAUAUUUAUAGAGCUAGACCUCGCUCCACUCUGUACCCAUUUAGUGUUCUAUUUUCUCAUUCACACAUUUUCUAGUUUAAUUUCAACUGCCCCAUGACUGUAGGGUCUCGAAAAUAAUGAUUGCUCUAGAUAAAACUAAGCAAUAAUGCAUUGUGUAACAUGUUUUAUUGUCUUAUCUAAAUAAUUACUUUGACCUUUAAUUUGUAAGAAUCUUCUCAAUAUAACAGAUGAAAGGAGCACAGAAUUUUGAAGAUUAGUCAAUGAGUGAAUCGGAAAGAAAGGAGUGUAAAACUUCGAUCAACUAGCUGUCAAACAAAAAAAACUUUGAUCAACUCAUGGUCGUCAUGUUACUAUAAGUAAUAUUAACAUAUAAGAGUGUCAUAUCAACUACUCCCUCUGUUCCAAAAUUACUAGUCGUCGUUUUAGUUCAAAUUUGAACUAAAACCAUGACGAGUAAUUUGGAACAGAGGGAGUACUGUACAUGCUCUAAUUUUUUUCAAUAUACGGUGUAGAAAUAGUUUCAUGCAUUACGCAUCCCUGCAUUUCUAAUGUAUGAUGUUGUAGAAUAGUUUCCAUGCAUUACGCAUCCCUGCAUCUCUGUAUCUUAAUUACCAAUUAAAUAGGAGCACAAAAUGGACGAAAUAGAGAGGAACGGCGAGUCAGGUCGUAUACGGCCGGGUAGAAGAUAACAUUUGUGGUCCUGGAUCUGGAUGUGAUAAGAUUUGCCAUGAUGUAUGUAACACACAAAAAAGAAAAUGUUGCCAUGAUAUUUAAAAAGAACUAGGGGCGGGGGGCAUGUUGUGGAUAUUAAAUUUGCCAUGUCCUAGAUAGUAAAUUUGCCAUGAUGUAUGUAACAUAGAAAAAAAAGUUGUCAUGAUCUGUAAAAAGAACUGGAGCGAGAUAGUUGCCAUGUUGUAGACAACAAAAUUUGCCACAUAUCUAGGAUUUGUAUAAAAUAUGCCAUAUAUCUAGGAUUUGAAUAUAGAUAACACAAAAGAAAGGUUGCCAUGAUUUAUGGAGAACAAAAAUCCUAAAAUUUGGCAUGUGACUAGUAUAUUUUUUUAACAAUUGCAAUGAUUUUUAGAUUUUUUGUAAGAAAUGCCACGAUGUUUGUGCUUUUCCUAAUGUAUGAAUAAUUGCAUUCCAUGACAAGAAAAUUUGGCAUGAUGUAAAAAAAGAUUUGACGGACACAAGAAAUAUCAAAAAUUGACAUGAUUUUAGAAAAAAAAUUCUGAAUAUUUUAGCCAUGUAACCAUUACACAUUUGCAAAAAGAUACCAUGUAUGAGAACAAAAUUCCAAAAAAAUCCAUGACACUGUUACAUAUUUGCAAAAAACUUACUAUGUACAAGAGAAUGAAAAUUCAUAGACUUUCCAUGUGGCCAUUAUAAACAGCUAUAAAAUAUCUCUUCUUUGUUUCCUUGGAGUGCAGGUACUUUUCACCAAUAUUUUCGCCACUAUAAGGGCUUCUUUGUGUUUCUCCGAGAAAUUUGGGCUCCUUCACCAUUUUGGCAGUGUUUUGUGGAAAAAGGGCCACCACCCUCAUUUUGGGUCGUAUUAGGCCCGGGGGCACAAUGAGAGCUGGGAUUGUGGAAAAACAUUGUAAGUUUAACCUAUAGGAAAAUAUCAGCAACCACACUACCAAAUCAAAAUCUAUGAUGAAUACAUUUUCAUAAUGUAUUUAAUGGUACUAUAUAGACUGGUAUUUUCUGGGACACCUGGUCUUUUAACAAUUUAGACUUGAGACUAGAUGAAUAUGCCUUAAUCCAGAAUGAAGGGCAUAGUUGUUGUAGUAUUUAGUUUGGCCACCCAAUUUUGAUAAAGAUAGUACAUCUUACUGUGAAUUACUAAGAGAAGUGUGCCUUCAUGAUCAUGAAUAGCCAUUAAGAUGCUUAGGGCACUCCAAUUGCAUUGGCUUUUUGUGCGUUCAUAGGUGGUGAACAAAAUAUUAGAGACCAUGAUCUGCUGUAUGUACUAUAUUUAAGUGAUGUUGCAUUUCAUUGAUUUAGGGAUUAGGAUUGUAGCUAAAAAUUAUGGUCUGGUUACAAAUAUGAGGAAAUGAGAGAAAGAUAGGAAGAGAAGCCACACAAGAUCUGAGUAUUAUUACACUGCAAAAUGAAACGAGCUAAGACCUGUAUCUGCACUAACAUAUAACUCCCUAUUAUCUCUUCAUAAUUAUUAUGGCUUGUCAGCAUUUACUUAUGAAAAUGUGCUAAAGAACAAGCACCAGGAGUGCCCUGAUAAACAACUAUUCUAUCCCAUGUAAAAUGUGAGACCUCCAUGCAUGUAUUCAAGUAUUUAGAGUUUAAGUAAUAACUAUAGCAAUAUCAUAUGGAUUAUGUGGUGCAAAACUGGUAUCGAUAUUCUUUUAUGAAUUGGAUGAUACUUUUUUUGUAAUGUAACUACAUUAGUGUAAAAUUAAUAAUUAAAGUUGAAUGUCAGGAUACGUAGGAGUCUUACAUUAUAAGAAAAAAGGUGCUACUGUGUAUAUUUAUAGAUCCAGACCUCGCUCCGCUCUGUACCUAUUUAGGGUUCUAUUUUCUCAUUCACACAUUUUCCAGUUUAAUUUCAACUGCCCCAUGACUGUAGGGUCUCGAAAAUAAUGAUUGCUCUAGAUAAAACUAAGCAAUAAUGCAUUGUGUAACAUGUUUUAUUGUCUUCUCUAAAUAAUUACUUUGACCUUUAAUUUCUAAGAAUCUUCUCAAUGUAACAGAUGAAAGGAACACAGAAUUUUGAAGAUUAGUCAAUGAGUGAAUCGGAAAGAAAGGAGUGUAAAACUUCAAUCAACUAGCUUUCAAACAAAAAAACUUUGAUCAACUCAUGGUUGUCAUGUUGCUCUAAGUAAUAUUAACAUAUAAGAGUGUCAUAUCAACUACUCCCUCCGUUCCAAAUUACUCGUCGUCCUUUUAGUUCAAAUUUGAACUAAAACCAUGACGAGUAAUUUGAAACAGAGAGAGUACUGUACAUGCUCUAAUUUUUUUCUUUUAAAUAUGCAUUUCUAAUAUACGGUGUAGAAACGGUUUCAUGCAUUACGCAUCCCUGCAUUUCUAAUCUAUGAUGUUGAAGAAUAGUUUCCAUGCAUUACGCAUCCCUGCAUCUCUGUAUCUUAAUUACCAAUUAAAUAGGACCACGGAAUGGACGGAAUAGAGAGGAACGGCGAGUCAGGUCGUAUACGGCCGGGUAGAAGAUAAGAUUUGCGGUCCUGGAUCUGGAUGUGAUAAGAUUUUCUUCGUGCUGGAUCAGAUCAGAUUUUUCUGGAGUUGGAUGUGACCAUAUUGUACAAUGCGUAUGGCAUGCAUGCAUCUCACUAAGCUAGCCAUAGUGUGGUAUCAUGCACUCGAGAAUAGUAAGCACACUGAUGUGGCAGAGAAUUAAAGAAGAGAGAGGAUGAGAGUAACCUAGAUAGAUAUCAUAUCAUAAUAAAUGUUAUGCCAUUUUGUGUCGUACAUUGUCCUAAAUAAAUCAUCUAUGAUACUACCUCCGUCCUGGUUUAUUGAUCCACAUCGUAUUUCAUGCCAAAUUUUUCCAUAAAUUUAACUAACAAAACGUCCACGCAUGCCAUUAAAAUUAUAUCAUUAAAAACUAUAUUUAAAUACGAAUUCAGCGAUAUAAUUUUUGUUGACAUGCAUUAACAUUUUUUAACUUAUUUUUUAGUCAAAAAUUUGACACAAGUUACAAAGGGGACUAAUAAACCUAAAUGGAGGUAGUAAUACUCUAUGAUACCAUGAACUAUGAACUAUAAAAGUAGUAUCAUUUACUAGUACUCCCUCCGUCCCAAAAUUCUUGUCUUAAAUUUGUCUAGAUACAGAUGUAUGUAAGACAAGAAUUUUAGGACGAAGGGAGUAUAUCAUACUAUAGAUGAUACUAAUAUAUGAUACUUCCCACUAUAAGUAGCCUAAUAUUAAUAUGUAAUACUACUCCUUUUUUUUGAGGAUAUGUAAUACUACUCCUAAUCAGACGAGUGACAGUGUGGGCCGCCUAACAGCAGCAAGCAUGUAUGCGUGAACGGUCACGGACAGCCACGGUGGUGACCACGAGGACGUGAUGCCAAACAUGCAUAAUGGUGGGUCACCAACAACAAACACACAUGUGUACAUCUCAGUGAGUGUACGUACACAAUAAUGGUGGCCACGAUCGACAACCAGUGGCCACCAUUAAAUCAGGACGUGGUGCGAAAUAGUACGAUACUGUAGAGAUCUGCACAUACGUCCAUGCAUGUGCACCAUCGUUAUCUAUCUAUCUAUCUAGCGAACCAAGCGCAUGCAUGUCCCGGAGAAGCUACUACUGUACUAUAGAGCACAGCUGUGCUCUCCUGCCAUGGCUCGUAGUGACACAAUCCUGUUCGUCGGCAUGGGCAUUAGGGCAUCUCCAGCCUGUUGGCCCCCCACGAGGGGCAAAAAAUCGCCCGCUGGGGGCGCACCGGCGCUAAACCACGCACGGGGGGCGUGAUGCCCCCCAGUCGCGGCGCCCACGGUUAGUCGAAAAAGUUAAAUACGGCGCAAAAACGACUCAAAUUUAACGCAAACAUCGGCGAGUUCGUUCAAACUUAAACAUAUUUUACAAAAAAGAAAAAAAACUACCCCCGCCGUCUCGCUCGUCGCCCGGCCACGUGGUUCUACAUGCCGAGGAGGCUGUAGAACCACGUGUAGUCACCGCCGUCGUCGUCAUCGUCGUCCUCGUCGUCGCCGCCCCUGCCUCCGCCUCCGCCGUCCCUGUUGCAUCCCUCCCCCGGUUGGCGCGGCGGGUUGGACGGUCCGGGGGCGUCGUCGUCGUCGCUGUCGAGGACCACGACGUCGUGCUCGUCCUCGCGCCCACGCUUGCGGGCGGCGAUCUCCUCCAGGGCGACCAUCUCGUCGCGGAGAUAGUCGUCCCGCUCCCACCGCAUGGCGUCCUCGUCGGAGAAGCCGCGCCGGGCUAUCUCCUUGUACUCUGCGGGGAGGCCGGGCUCCGGCUUGGGCUCGACGAGGACGAAGCGGCCGGUGGGUGGAGAGGCGUUGGCGCCGAUGCGGACGCCGGAGCUGCGGGUGCGUGCACUGACCGGUGUGUCCUGGGGCUCCGGCUUGACGGGGCGGAGGCAGGGCGAGCCGCCGGACGAGGAGGAGGACCCCCCGGUCUCCAUGCGCCUCGGGGUCCAGGAGCUUCCCCGGCGGCGUGACAAGGAAGGGGGGGCGGGGUACUCGAGGCGCGGCGUGUUGCCGCCCUCGAUGUACUCGAGGACGGCCUCCAACGUGCGCCCGGGCACGCCCCACCACAGACGCCGGCCGGCGGUGUUGAGCCUGCCGGAGGGCACGACGCCGUUGGUGGCCUCGAGUUGCUGGGCAUGACGGCGGCGGAAGUAGGUUCCCAGAGCGGGCUGUCGGGGACGUACCGUGGCCCCUCCCUCGCCGCACGCGGCAGGUUCGAGCGGAUGCAUGCGAUCUCCGCACGCCGCGCCGCGCCGGUGGGUACCGGGGGCACCGGCACGCCGCCCGCGCUGAUCCUCCACGCCCCGGGCACCCGCAUGUCCGGCGGGACCGGGUACUCGGCCUCGUAAAGGAGGCGAGCCUCGUCUUCAUGAAGAUGGCGGCGGCCGAAGCCGUUCGCCGCCGCGCCGUCGCCUGGGAAGCGCUCGGCCAUGGGUGUGAACUGGAGACGGCGAAAGAGAGGAGAGGAGAGGGAGGAACGACGGCGGCGGGAGAGUGUGAGUCGCCGAGUGCGCCGGGGCGCUUCAUAUAUAGGCCGAGGCGCGUGUGCCACCGUGCGUACGCGUGGCGGGCGAGGGAGGGCGAGGGACGCGCGUCGUCCGGUCUUCACUGCGCCGCCCGUGAGGCAUCAAUGGUGCAGGCUGACCGGCGCGGCAGCGCGGCAGCUUUGGCAUUGAUUCGUCACGGGAAACGAGGCGAUGAGGACGACGAAGGGCCGAGAAGAGAGCCAUGUCGCUGACGCGGCGGGCCCGCAGCUUUUUCGCGCCAAAACAGUUCGCCCGGCGCCCCCGGGCGCCCCCCAGCGCGCCGGGUUCGGGCUGGGUCCGCCGGCGCUGUUUUCGGCCCAAGCCGGCGAAAAUCGGGCUCCUGGGACGCGAUUGGGCCAUUUUUUUGGUGCCGGCACGAAAAAAACGUCUGAGGAGGCCUUUCUGGAGGCGCGGCUGGAGAUGCCUUUAUAGGUGCAUGUGCAUGCAUCCAAGUCUCGAAGUCGUGACUCUCUCAACAACUUCCUUAAAUUCCAUCCGUGGUUGCUGGCAAGAGCUCUGCUUAGAUCGGAUCUAAACAGUGAAACAAUUGACACGUCCCACUGUCACGAAAUUAAUAGGAUAGACAAUGCAUCAGAAGGCAUGAUGUCUCUAUUUCCAAAUUAAAAGAAUAACAAUUGUUGUUAUUUUCUUCUAUAUAUGUAUUAGGUGAAAAAAACUUUUUGACUGAAUUGAUCUACAUGCUGAUAUGAUUAAUAUGUAUACUCUCUCCAUUUCUAAAUAUAGAGUCUUUUAGAGAUUCCAAAGCAAACUACAUACAAAGUAAAAUGACUGAAUCUAUACUAUAAAAUAUACUCUCUUCGUUUUUAUUUACUCUGCAUAUUAGAAUUAACUGAAGUCAAACUUCUUAAAGUUUGACCAAAUUUAUAGAAAAGAAUAUAAAUAGAUAUCAUAACAAAAUAUAUGAUGUGAAAGUACAUUCAAUAAUGAAUCUAAUGGUAUUGAGUUGUUAUUGUAUAUGUUAAUAUUUUUGUCUAUAAAUUUAGUCAAAGUUACAAAGCUUGAAUUUGACCAAAGCUAAUACGUGCAGUAAAUUAAAACGAAGGAAAUAUCUAUAUACAUCUACAUGUAAUCUAUAUUAAAAUCUCUAAAAGAUCUAAUAUUUAUAUUUAGAAACGGAGGCAGGGAGUAUGAAGCAUCCAUUCAGUGUGAGUUCAUGAGGCGAGGGGCUGGCUCGUUCUUACUGUUGACAAUUCUCUAGUGGAUAUACAUCCACACAGACGCAUGUACUCCAUUCAGGCAUAGUACUCCCUCCGUUUCAUAAUGUAGUGCCUAUAGAUUUUUUGAAAAGUCAAACUUUACAAACUUUGACCAAGUUUAUGAAGAAAAACAUUUACAUUUAAAAUGCUAAACAUAUAUUAUUAGAUUCAUCUUAAGAUGUAUUUUUAUAUUUUAUAUAUUUGACAUUGUAUAUAUAUAUAAAUAGUUUUUUUUAUAAACUUGACCAAAGUUUGACUUUAUAAAAAAAUCUAUAGAUACUACAUUAUGGAACGGAGGGAGUAUUGGGCAGCCCAGCCUGGUUUUCCCAAUUGUUAGACUGAAAUCAGCUCCGUGGGAUGGGCGCCCACUUUUUAGAUAUUUCGAAGCGUAUGAGUAGUUUGCCAUAAUUUAGAAAAAUGGUAGCAUGUCGCAUCAAGAGAUUGCUCAUUGGAUACAAGAUAAGACCUGCAUGCCGAGUCAUGGUGAGUCAGAUCGGGUCCAAUCUAAUCGUCCUUACUUGCAAGGCAUGGGCAUGCAUAUCAAUGAAUGUGGUAGCUGUGCGUGCACGUACACGUACUACUCCAUUAUUGAUCCCACUUUGAAUUAUUGAUUGCCAUAUGUCAUCCAUUAAGGCGCGACAUCGAACCGCAGUACUUUCUCAGUCCGAGUUUAAUAGGCAUAAAGACAAUUUCUUUUGGAUCAAGACACAUAGUAAUUUGCUCAUGUUAGUUCUUUUAUUUCACUCCUAAUGCACUCUCACAUUCAUGCAGCUAAUUAAAAAGAAUGCAUGCAGCGUAUUAAUUUCCCAAUCAUGGCACCAAACAAUAAUGGCUUUCAAUGCAACCAAUGAAGUGAUUGCAUGUAUGCACCUUUUCAAAGCGAUGCCUUAUAAAAAGGGACAUGCUUGUUUUGCUGUGAGGCCCAAUAAACCCGGACGGAGGAAGUACAUAGGUCAGUCCUGGUUUUUAUGUCCCUAUUAUAUUUUGUGCCAAAUUUUGACCAUAGAUUUAACUAAUAAAAUGUUCAUGUAUGUCAUAAAAAAUUAUAUAAUUAGAAACUAUAUUUAAGUACAAAUUCAACGAUAUAUUUUUGUUGACAUGCAUUAACAUUUUAUAAAUUAAAUAUUUGAUCAAAAUUUGGCAUAAAUUAUAAAAGGGACCACUAAAUCAGGACGGAGGCAGUAAAACCUUAAAGAUUAAAAGGGCUUAUAUUUCUUUAUAGAGGAAGUAGCAAAUUACUCUACACAAAAUAAUGGUAUAUCUGCCGAAAACCGGAGCAGUAGUAUACGUUCUAGAAGGGACUAUGUGUGUGGGGACUGGGGACUGGGGUCAAGUAUAACUAUUGUCAUUAUCAGCCGAAAGCAUGUGUUUUAUUAGGAAACUCUAAGUUAAAAGCGUACACACAGCCGCGUUUCCGCGGAUCCCGCUUGCGUCUCUGUGGUGCUACGGUAUUAUCGCUACAGGAGGCUACAAGACAAAUGCAUGGAUCACAUCAUGUGCUGCUGGUUUAUACCCAGCUUCGUGCGAUAAAUGACCGCUCACGUGGGAUGCAUGCAUGAAAAGGAAAAGAAGAACCGAGCAACCCGCUGCAUGCGCUAAUCUGGUUGGAUACAUGUCAGAGCAUCUACAACCGGACGCCCUCAAAUAAUGAUCACUCAUAUACCCGUGGACACGCCAGGUUAGUGACCGGACAGGAGAGAAGAAAAAAGGGACGACUCCACGUAUCGUCCCAUAUGUUCGGGCUGUCCGCGAACCGCAUAUUGCGGCCAAAUGUCGGGAGGAUAUGAGGGCUGAUGGAGGCGCCCCUGUGUGCUCGGUCGAUCCGCCACGUAGGUCGCGACCGCACCCCGAACCACAUUUUUUCUUUCUUUAUUCAUUCUUUUCAUUCUCUUUCUUCAUCUCCAUCAAUCACAGGCAAGUGAUCAAACAUACAAGGGAAAAAAAAGAGAAGUGUGACCGCACGGACGAACAAAUAGGGUUCAAAACGGACAUGUCCGACCACUGGCCGGGUGCGUUCGCGGGCUUUUGAGAGGUUAAAUUUGGGCAGUCCGGCUGUAGAUUCUCUUAGCAGCGUUAAUAUCUCGUGUUGAUCCUUAGUUUUGGCUAAGGGUGUGGUGAGGUCCAGUCUACUAUUAUUUAAUUAAUUCUUGGUCAGUGUUAUAAGAUAAUUAAAAACACUAAAAAUCAAAUUUUGCACGGUUAAUGUAAGAUAUCACGAAUAGAGCAUUGACUGAGACUUCGUUAAGUUUGGUCCGACUAAGAUUUAACUAAGUCUCGGUCAAGUGACAUAACAUGUAAGAAAAUAAAAGAAAAAAACGAAAAUAAAGUUUUGCAUGGUUAAUAUAAGAUCUCAUGAAUAUAGCAUCGACUGACACUUGAACAAGUUGGUACGUAAGAUAAGUUUUGCCGAGCUAGAUCUGGUAUGUUUUGUAUGCAUCUUAGUAAGUGAACUACAGUCCUCAUGCUGACGUAGCACUCACGUAGGCUAGCUGAAUGAUGCGGUGUUUUCAUUGUGGACCAUCAACAUGGGCAUAGGUUCAUCUGCCACCCGAUGGACAGUAUACUUGAAACCAAAAAUUCUAAAAAAUUAAUUUUUUCUGUGGCACCGAAAAUAACCGUGUGCUGGGUGCGAGUAAACUUUUAAGGACAAACGACAUCCAAAAAGCUUCGGAAGUAUGUAUUAUGGAGAGCUGAUUUUUAUUCUAGAGGUCCCGGGAUGCCAUUUCUUGACAAAAUUUUGAAUGCACGAAGAAAACUUGACCAUCUUGGAUGUUAAAAGAAAAUCAGACAUUUUAAUUUUAUUUUCUACUCUGUUUUCUGGUCUAGAUGUUGUUUUUCUGUAUUUUUAGAACAAGCAUGACAGCCAAACUUACACUUGGUGCAUCUACCCAAAUCCCGAUGGACCACUCCACAGAGAUGGAUAGGGAGGGGUUCUCCAUAGGAUAAGAAGUCCUGCCGAGCGAGAUCCAAUCUAUAUAUAAUUCUCAAUCACGUACGUGUACGUACGUGCAAGUCGGGGCCAGACGAUUUAUAGAUGAGGUGUCGGUGUGUGAACGAUGAGGAGCAGCCAUGGAUUCAUUCAUGACGACGUAGAAAUCUUGUUCUCCAGCAGCAAGCAUACUACUACGUGUUCCACGAGGCUGUGAUUCCAAUCGAUGCAUGCAUGUGCGUGCAUGCACCUACUCCACGACCACGAUAAGACGGGCGUGCAUUCAUGGCUCUGAACAGAACAGCCAUCGGGGUGACUAAGGAUGGAUGGAGUCAUGGAGGAGACGUGUAUUCACGUGGGCUGUCUAGCUAGUACUACCACACCAUGCAAGCACAUAUGGAGGGGACGGCUACGAUGGAAACAACCUUUAUGAUGAAAUACUAAAACUUGGCCGGGUUAGAGUUGCACCACCUCAAUCGUUGGAUUAGAGUUGGAUGGCACAUACUACUACACAAGUUACAAACUUACACCAACUAGUUCUAAAACUUACACAGGCAUGUUUCUAAAACUAACAAAAGUUACAAACUUACACCAAUCUUGUUCUCCAACAUGCUAACACUGUGGGAACACAGCCGGUCACCGGACAUGGCCACGGUGACCGGUCACCGGACAUGGCCACGGUGACCGGACAAACUCCGCUUAAAGAUCCCUACCUUGCAUGUAAUAAUAAGGAUUUGAGAUUUCUAAUUUGAGGUAUUCGGAUGUGGCUUGCAUUAUUUGAGGCGUGACAGCUCAGUGUCCCCGGACGCGUCCGCGGGCGUUUGAGGAACCGGAUUUGCAAAGUCCGGUUGCUCUUAGCAGCGUUAAUAUCUUGUCUUGGUCAAUUGAUAUUUUUGUGUUACUAUUAAAAUUGCCUUUUCACGGGGACAACCAAACUUACUUCCUCCGUCCGCGAAUAAGUGUACAUCUAGUUUUUGUCUUAAAUUAAAGUUUUAAAACUUUGACCACCUUUCUAGGAAAACGUAAAAGCGUUUACGUCACCAAAUUAGAAUCACUAUAUUUGUUUUGAAAUAUACUUUGAUAAUAUAUCAAUUUGAUAUUAUAUAUGUUACUACUAUUUUCAAUAAAGUUGAUCAAAAUUAAAAAACUUUGACUUAGAACAAAAGCUAGAUGUCCAUUUAUUCGCGGACGGAGGGAGUACACUUGGCGCAAGUGGGGAGCCAGGAUUCGAGUAUCGCUGGGCAAGCUAACUUAAAAGAAAAUGGCACCGGCAGACGGUAGGUCCCGAAGAAGGCGAUGCUGCCACGGCCACUGUCGUCGCUCCCCAUGGCCGACCGACGCGCGGUCGAUCGAGCAAGAAUGAAACAACUUCUUUCGAUGGGUUCCUCUUUCUCUGGUUUGUGUUGCCUUGCUAUGCUUGAUUUAUAAUGACAUGCAAGCAGGACUUCAGUAGCUUCAAUUAAAACAAACUCCCGCAAUUUUUCUUCUAAAGCAAAGACUUAUCUCUGCUGACAAUUUUUAUCCAGUUAUUUUAUAUUCAGUGAUUCAUUAAUCCACUGAUGAGUAGACUACAAGUACCUCCGUUCUAGUUUACAAGUCUCCUUUAUAUUUUGUGUCAAAUCUUAACUAGAGAUUUAAUUAACAAAUUAUUAGUGCAUGUCAUAAAAAAUUAUACCAUUGAAUUCGUAUUUGAACAUAGUUUUUCAUUAUAUUAUUUUUAUGACAUGCAUUAACAUUUUAUUACUUAAAUUUAAGGACAAAAAUUGACACAAAAUACAAAGAGGACUGAUAAACGAGGACGGAGGUAGUAAAUUCCUUGAGUGUUGUACUCCCUCCGUCCCAUAAUAUAAGAAUGUUUUUUACACUAGUGUAGUGUCAAAACCGUUCUUAUAUUAUGGGACGGAGAGAGUAGUAUAUAGUAAUAGUAAUAGUAAAAAAAUAUACAAAAAUUGGAGUUGGUAGUGAGUUCAUUUGUGGGGUCAACAACCUUCACAAUAAACAAAUACACUCCUCUUUCUCUUCACAUGUGGAAGUAGCAAACUUCCAGGAGACUUAUAAACAAAUGCACUAGAGCUACUUUAACGGAAAGCCAACAGUCAUUUAGAAGACACGGAUAACAAUUGCAAAUAACAUGACUCGAACUCAAAAUUAUGAUUUUGGUUUUAGUUUCUCUUCCCAACAAAAUUUCAAGUUUUAUAUCAUACCAUAGGAGAGUGAACAAAUUGUAAUGCCCAUUCUCCCAUGUUUUCAAAUUCAAAAUGUUGUCUCACUAUACAUUUUUCAAAGGACCUACUACAGUCACAUCAAAGAAAAAAAAUGAAUUAGUGACAUUGGUAUUACUCUUUACAAAGAAAGCAAAUGAAAUAGGAACUAAACCAGAAUCAUAAUAGUGAUGUUUUUUAAGAAAGAAUAAAUAAGUGGCAUUGAUACUACCCUUCGAGAAAAGGGAAAAUUAAAAAACUAAAACAAACAACGACAAAAAAUGUACACAAUGUUCACAAAAAUGCUCUUUUAAAAAAUAUGCAUGAAUAAACGUGUAAUGGUGGAAUUUUUGCAUAAACAAUUCCUAAAAAAGGAAUGAAUUAGUGGCAAUGGUUUACCCUUGAAGAAGAGGGCAGCGAGGCUGCAUGGGAGCGCCGGCGGCCACGGGUGAUGGUGGCCGGGGUUCGGCCGGUGGCAUAUUUGAUGGUUGGGGGAAGAAGAAAAAGAAGGUGGUCUGGAGGUUGAAGGAGCAAUCUGCACCGCAUGUUUUCCAUCCAACGGUUGAAACGAAAUCGGCCGACCUAAAUUGAAAUUUCAGUCGAUUUAUUACCGCUAGCCAUUCCCUUAAAGUAUGACCAUAAUUCAUCAUGGAAAAUAGUUUCACAACGAAGAAUCCUGCUAGCUAAGGUUAGGUCUUCUGUUUAUGUAUAUAUAGAAAGGUAUGCAUGCGCGUCUCCCCAAUACACGUACGCCAGACACAGAAGCUCUGCUCCGCUAGCUUGUAAGCCAUGGCGUUCAACGACGACGAGAAGCCUCCUGCUUCUAACGCAGGUAACACCAAGGGUCUGGUGACCAUCACCGAGCCCAAGUUCAGCAAGGACGCGGCGGCCCUGUCGGCGGACGAGGUGACGGCGGUGGUAGAGCUGAAGGCCACCUCGUCGACGGCCGUCCGGGAAGGGCUGGACCUGGUGGCGGUGCUGGACGUGAGCGGCAGCAUGCAGGGCGACAAGCUCCAGAGCAUGAAGAUGGCGAUGCAGUUCGUCAUCAUGAAGCUCACCCCCGUCGACCGCCUCUCCGUCGUCUCCUUCUCCGGCUCCGCCACCAGGCACUGCCCGCUCCGCUCCGUCACGCAGCAAGCGCAGGCCGACCUCAAGGCCAUCGUCGACGGCCUUGUCGCCAACGGCGGGACCAACAUCAAGGCCGGCUUGGACACCGCCCUGGCCAUCGUCGCCGGCCGGGCCACCACCAAAGCCCGCACGCCCAAUGUCUUCCUCAUGUCCGACGGCCAGCAGAGCGACGGCGACGCCAGGCAAGUCGAUCCCGGGAACGUGGCGGUCUACACGUUCGGCUUCGGCAAGGACGCCGACCACGCCCUGCUCAGCGACGUCGCCAAGAAGUCCCCCGGCGGCACGUUCAACUCGGUGCCGGACGGCGGGAACGUGAGCGCGCCCUUCUCGCAGCUCCUCGGCGGGCUCCUCACCAUCGUCGCGCAGGACGUGCAGCUCACGCUCACGCCCAAGGCGGAAGAUCCCACUGCCCCGGACCUGGACACCAUGACGGUGGCGCCAGGGACCGACUACACGCAGACCACCGACGGCGACACGGGCGUCAUCACCAUCAAGUUCGGCACCCUCUUCAGCGGCGAGACCCGCAAGGUCGCCAUCAACUUCAAGCUCCUGGAGAGCACCUUGACGACGGCGUACGACGGAUUGGUGGCGGAGGCCCAGCACAGCUACACCGUGCAGGGCAGCUUGCAGGGGCAGACCCCGCAGGACGUGGUGAUACCCCGCUCCCCGGACGCGCCCGCCGACCCGCCCACCAGCGGCAAGGCGCAGGCGGUGCUGGCGGAGAUGGCGCGUCGGCAGCACGCCGGCGCGAUCGGCGAGGCGAGGCAGAUGGCCGACGGGAAGAACCUGGAGGAGGCGCGGUACAAGCUGGCGGACGCGCAGAACGCGCUGGAGGACAUCGUGCUGAACGACGGCGAGAAGCUGGUGGGCAUGCUCCGCGCGGAGCUGCAGCAGCUGCUGGACCUGAUGGAGACGCAGGAGCUGUACGAGGCGGAGGGGCGGCCGUACGCGCUGGCCUCCGAGACGUCGCACGGCCGGCAGCGGUACGCGGCCAGGGGCGGCGACAUGGACGCCGUGCGGCUGUUCGCCACCCCGCGCAUGGACACGUACCUGGAGCAGGCCAAGAAGUUCGAGGAGGACCCCACGGCGCCGCUGCCGUCCGCCGACGACGACGCCAAGGAGGAGAUGGCCGCCAACCCGCUCGCCGCCAUCUCCGCGCCCAUCGCCUUCUACAUCAAGGUGGCCAUCCAGGCGCUGCAGGAGAUCGAGAAGCUCGUCGCCCCGCCCACCAAAUAGAAAACAAGCUACUCCAUUUCAUCACUCGGUCUACUGCUAUGUUUGUUUCAUCAAUCCAUUUACUGCUACGUUUUCCUUUCAUUUUAUCUUCAUGGUUGUAAAUUUACUUCAUCGUGAGCUGAAAUGAAUAAAGGGGCAUCUCAUCCUCGCUCUUUCCACUCACUUACCACUCGCUAGAACAAUGGUUAUUGGUUGUGAUCAUCUACAUGCCGCAGUGCUGUCAAUCGCACAUGGUCAGGGCCCGCACGGCGGCGACCAUUUAGCUAUUUUCGAAAGGUGUGGCUAGAUCUCGGUCGACUGAGAUCUCAAUCAAGUGACAUAACAUGUUAAAAAAGAAAAAAAGAAAAAAACAAAGAAGAAAAUUGCCCGGAUCUUAAUGUAAAAUAUCAAGAAUAUAGCAUCGACCGAGACAUAACAAAAUCUCCCUCGAUUGAGAUUUGGCAAGAAUAAUUUCUAUAUCAAAAAAUAACUAUUCUUCAGGUUUUCUUGUUCGAAUAAGGCCUCGGACCUAUUGAUCAAAUCAUCAAAAAUUUAUUUUACAUCAAAUAUCAACAUAUACACACCACUUUAUAAGAUAAAUAAAUUACAUCAAGGUCUUUGGUGUUCGGUCAUCUUCUUCCUCCAGAACAGGUUCAAGUACCUCGCGAUGAUAUCCAGGCUCUUCAUCGCCCACACCACUACCGUGGGAUCACUUCCCACGACCAUGAAGAUGACCAACGAGCCAGAGUUAAAGAUGUCUGUCUUGGUCAUGGCUGUCUCCUUGCCACGUGAGGAAGAGAAGAUCCAGUUACUGCUGGAGACCUUGAGGCAUGAACAUAUGUGUUCUGUCUGUUUGAAGCAUAAUAUUUUUAAGACAACGGUAUAUAAACAUAUAUAAUAUUCAUUGUUUUUCGUCUUUCUGUCCCUAUUUGUUCCUAGAAAAUUAUUACCGUUCAUUUAAAAACUAAGCCUGAUAAGAAAAAAAAUCCCUCACACAUUUAAAAACUAAGUCUUAAUAGUCAAUAUACAUUGUAGCAAACAAUGAAAAAAAAUGGUUGGACGCAAACUGUUUUAGGUCGACAAGGAAUCUAAUAUAGCUAAUAAUAAAGGGGCUAUUGCUUCUUGCGGUGCGUCAUAGAAAUUGCCCCCAGAGUUACAAAAUAUUACCCACCAAUGUCACCUAUAAGCGAUAAAAAAAAGAUCCACAUAGGGGAAUCCCUCUCCAUGCCCGGGCCAUGCACUAGGGACGUCCUAUACCGCGCUUCGCGCGCUAGAAGAAACACAACACAUCUGUUUGGGCCAACCCAUGUCCAGGCGGCCUGUUUUAAAAUUUCCUUUUUUAUUUUCCUUUUUCGUUUUCUUUUUUGUACUUUACAUAAUUUGGGACGUCAAAAAAGUUCUGAAAAUAAAAAAUGAUAAUUCUAAAUUAAAAACCUUUAGUAAAUUAGAAAAUAGUUUUGGAUUCAAAAAAGUUCACGAUUUAAUAAAAAAAAUGUUGUGCUUAUUAUACAAAUGUUAGAAAAUUUGAAAACAAAUGUUCAGGAAACGAUUUUUUAAAAAGUUUUCGUACUAAAAAGUGUUAAUGAAAUUGAACAAAAUUUCGACUAUUCCAAAAAAAAUAAUGAAUGGAAAAAUAUUCUAAAAAUUCGAAAACUGUUCAUGACUUUCAAAAUAGUUAAUUCAUUCAUAAAAUGUUCGCUGAUUCAAAAAAUGAUCAUGCAUUUCAAAAAUUGUUCAUUAAAUAAAUAAAAUGUUCAUAAAUUUCAAAAAUUGUUCCACCAAUUUCCAAAACAAUGUUCGUCCAUUCUAGAAAUGAUCGGGAAUUCAAGAAAAUUGUUAAUAUAGUGUUUACAAUUUUGUAAAAAUAUUUGCGAAAGCAUAAAAUGUUCAUGAAUUCAAACAUGUUUGAUUUUAGAAAAUGUUCGGAAAUUUGUAAAAGUUUUCAUGAAUUUGAAAAACGUUCAUGAUUUCAAAUGUGUUCACGAGUAUCAAAAAAGUUCAUGAUUUCAUGAAGUUGAGAGUGAUAGUGUAUCUCGGUGCAGCAAAAUGUGAUCAUAGCCAUUGGAGAUUAUUUUUUUGUUCUUCCGCUGCAACACUCGAGCCCUUUUGCUAGUAUUACUAAAAGACUAUAUGGCAGCCUAGAAUAGUAGCAUCUCCUUGGAUGGUGACAUGUGUUCACCUAGAUGAAUUCAGCUUCACAAUAGACAAGCAUCUCAUCUGCAAAAUUAUAUUUGUCGAAGCAUGCCAUAUGAUCAUUUUGAAAAAGUUGUGUUGGAGCUUUAGGCAACAGAAGUACUUGAGGAUGACCAUAAUAAUACCAUCUGAAAAUGACAUGGUGAACCACUUCCACUAUCUUCGACCAUCAACAUCUUUUUAGAUUUUGUGAAUAUCAUACAUAAAAGUGUAUCUCAAAAAUUAAUUUUAUGAACUAAUAAUUUCACCAGGCAUAGUAAUUGUACAAGAAUUAAUGGUCAAACUUACGUUUGAAAGAUGCGUUAAAGCAUGACUCUCGGGGCUUGAUCAGUUCCUAAUCCCUGAAUGAUUUUGAAAAAAUUGUAGGUUACCGAAAAUACUUUUUGCAAACUGUCUCGGUGAGCCACUUCCAACAUGUUUGACCAUCAAUAUCUUCAUAGACUAGAUGUGUGAAGAUCAAACAUAUGUGUUUGUCUUGGAAAAUAUCUUCAUAAUAUACUAAUUUAAUUAUUUAUUAUUUUGUAUUUGUUAGUCAUUAAUAGUCAAAGUUACAUCUCGAAGACCGUGCCAAUAUACAAAUUCAUCCGUUAUAGAUGGGGGGUGAUAACUUAUGAUAUUUGUUUUGACUUGGCUCAACUAGAAGAAAACCGUUUCCCCAACUUAGAACAACCAAGCCACUCAUAAAAAUAGUAUAUGCAUUAGUGCAUGCCUAUUAGGACUUGCUAAAUGAUUAAUCUCUAAUUUCUUUGACAAAAUCUCCAGCUGUGUUGUGUUGAAUCUCUAAACGAACUCAAGUUUGACAAUGAAAAUGCGUUAAGAAACAAGUGUGGAGAGACACCCCCAACAUAUUUUACCAUCAGUACUUUUUAGAUGGACAUGUGAACAUUGUAUGACUAUAUUGGUUCCAAAAUUUAUUUCAAGUAUAUUUCUAAUAAGUUAUCAUUUUUUCCAUUUUAUUAGAAUAUUCUUAUAUAUAUAUAUAUAUAUAAUCUCUUUGACAAAAUCUUCCCUUGUGUCAUUUAGAAAUGUACUUAAUCUCUAAUCUCUUUCAGAAAAUUUCUGUGUCGUGUUGAAUCUCUAAACGACACUCAAGGUUGACAAUGAAAACGCGUUAAGAAACAAGUGUGGCAAGAAACAUCCAAUAUAUUUCACCAUCAGUAUUUUUUUACAUCGGACAUGUGAACAUUGUAUGACUAUAUUGGUUCCAAUUGUUUUAAGUAUAUUUCUAAUAAGUUAUCAUUUUUGCAUGUGAUAAGAAUAUAAUGAUUAAAAAGUUCUGGAGAUUGUAUUAUAUAGCUUUCUAUAUGGAUUUUUUAUUCAGAGUGUAUUAUAUAGCUUUCUAUAUGAAUUUUUAUUUCAUUGACCUGUCCAUACUUGGAAACCAAUGAAUGGUCAGUUAUAUUAUGAGCAGUCAAUGUGGGACAGAUGGACUUACAAAAAAUUCUGGUUACAUUUCAUAUUGCCUCCAUGUGCUUACUACUAUAAUCUUAUGGAUAUGAUUAACUCAUAUCCCUGUGGCCCUCUUGCACCUGCACAUUUUAAUGAAUAGAAGUUGGAAUAUUUUAAAUUGGAAUGUCAGGGGUAUAAACUCUCAAACCAGAUGGGAUGAUUUAAGAGCUAGAAUUGAGGAAAGUAAUUGUGGUGUUAUUUGUAUUCAAGAAACAAAAAGAGAAGCAUUUGACCAGGCUUAUCUCAGAAAUUUUUCACCUAGAAGAUUCAACCAAUUUGCAUAUAAUCCUGCAAUUGGUCUGUCAGGUGGACUUAUUACUAUAUGGAAUGGCAGUUUAUUCAGUGGAAAUGCCAUCAGUCAAUCAUCCUACCAAAUCAUUGUCAAGUUAACAUGUAAUCUUUCUGGUCAUAUUUUUUAUAUCAGUAAUAUAUAUGGGCCCUGUUAGAAUGAAGACAGAGUGGAUUUUUUUGAAUGGCUAAACAAUAUUGAUGCAUCACAGAUGGACCACUGGAUGUUGGCUGGUGAUUUUAAUUUAAUAAGAAGCCCUGAUGACAGAAAUAGACCUGGAGGAGACACAAAUAAUAUGCUCAUGUUUAACAGCCUACUCCAACAAUUAGAUCUUGUGGAGAUCCCUCUUAAAGGUAGAAAUUUCACUUUGAGCAAUAUGCAAGAGUACCCUUUAUUGGAAAAACUGGAUUGGAUAUUUACUUCUGCAAAUUGGACACUAUCUUUCCCUAACACCCUGGCUCAUCCACUCACCAGAGUUACAUCAAAUCAUGUUCCUAUACACAUUCGGAUUGGAAGUGAUGUUCCUAAAUCCUCCAUAUUCAGGUUUGAAAACUAUUGGUUUGAAUUUGAUGGCUUUUAUUAAACUGUCAUACAAUGCUGGAAUAAAAACCAUCAGUUGAUAAACUCUGCUCAAGAUGUUGCUUCCAGAUUCAAAUGCCUUAGAAUGAGACUCAAAAAAUGGAGUAAGAACUUGUCCAAGCUCAACACUGACAUCUCUGCUUGUAAUUAUGUUUUAUCUAUGCUGGAUGGCAUUGAAGAUCAAAGAAUACUCAGCACUAUGGAAGCCAACUUUAGGAUUAUAUUGAGGAGGCAUAUAUCUAAAUUAUUGGAAGUGAAAAGAAUUUAUUGGAAAACAAGAUUCAAAAUGAGAUGUGUGAAACUUGAUGAUGAAAAUAUUGAUUUCUUCCAUGCAAUGGCUACCCAAAGUUACAGAAAAAACUUCAUUACUUCUAUCAAUGAUGAUGAUGGAAAUCCUGUCCAAAACCAUGAUCACAAGGUUGCUAUCAUCUGGAAAUCUUUCAAAGACAGAUUGGGUAAAUCAAUUGAUCCUCAUAUGCUCUUUAAUCUGGAGGAACUUAUCCAGCCUUCUGACCUUUCUGAACUGGAAGCCCCUUUCACUAUGGAGGAUAUUGACCAGGUGAUUAAUGAUAUUCCAUCUGAUAGAGCACCUGGACCAGAUGGAUUCAAUGGUGCUUUCCUAAAAAAAAUGUUGGGAUAUUAUUAAACAAGAUAUUUACACAAUGAUAUGGGAUUUUUUUGAAGGAAACUGUGACAUUCAGAGUAUCAACAUUGCCUUCAUUACUCUUAUUCCAAAAAUUACAAAUCCCCUCAAUAUGAAUGAUUUUAGGCUAUCUCCCUGGUCAGUCUUCCUUUGAAAAUUAUUACUAAGCUUAUGGCUAACAGAGCUCAGAGAAUUAUUACAUCAGUUAUUCAUCAGAACCAAUAUGGGUUUAUCAAAGGUAGAAAUAUACAAGAUUGUUUGGGAUAUGCCUUUGAAUAUCUCCAUCUAUGCCAUCAAUCUAAAAAACCUAUCAUCAUUUUAAAGUUAGAUUUUGAAAAGGCAUUUGAUAAGGUGGAAUACAAAACCAUUAUUGCCAUGCUCAGAGCUAAAGGUUUUGGACCUAGAUGGAUCAAUUGGGUACACAAUAUUCUUCAAUCUGCAUCUACUUCUGUCUUACUUAAUGGAGUGGCUGAGAAAAAAUCAUCUGUAAGAGAGGGGUCAGACAAGGGGAUCCUCAUUCCCCUUUAUUAUAUGUUAUUACUGCUGAUCUUCUUCAAACAGUUAUUAAUGCAGCCUGGUCAAAUGAUGAAUUAUCUCUUCCUAUAAAUCAUGCAUAUGGUCAAGAUUAUCCAAUCAUCCAGUAUGCUGACGAUACCCUGUUGAUUAUGCCUGCUAAUGAAGAUCAGAUUAUCCACCUCAAAUACCUUCUGAAUCUUUUCAGUGUGUCCACGGGUCUUUUUGUUAAUUUUAAUAAAUCCUCCAUGAUUCCCAUCAAUGUAAAUCAUCAAGAGGUCACCAGACUUGCCACAUCAUUCGGAUGCAAGGUGGAGAGCCUACCAUUCACUUAUCUAGGUUUACCCAUGGGCACCACAAAACCAUCAGUUCAGGAUCUCAUCCCUGUCAUAUCUAGAAUUGAGAAAAGAUUAUCUGGGGUUGCUAGAUUCAUGAAUUAUUCUGGUAGACUUACCUAUAUAAAUUCAGUGGUUGCUUCAAUGCCAAUAUUUGCUAUGUGCUCUCUCAAAGUACAUAUUGCCAUCCUAGAUCAUGUUGGUAAAACAAGCAGAAACUUCUUAUGGUAUGGGAAGGAUAUUAAUAAAGGAGGCAAAUGUUUGGCAAGCUGGCAGAUGAUAUGUAAGCCAAAAAAUCAAGGGGGUCUUGGAGUUCUAAAUUUGAGAGAACAAAACAAAGCUCUACUUAUUAAGCAUCUUUACAAAUUUUACAACAAGAUGGAUGUACCUUGGAUCAAAUUAAUUUGGGAGGCCCAUUAUCAGAAUAAUGAAGUCCCUCAUUUCAACAGGAACAAAGGCUUUUUUGGUGGAGAGAUUGCAUGAAAAUGUAUGAUUAUUUCAGAGAUAUGACAACUUGUGAUAUUAAAUCUGGUGACACCAAUAUGCUUUGGGAGGAUAAAUGGAAUGGUGAUAUUAUGAAGCUAAAGUUUCCUGAGCUACACUCCUUCACUUAUAAGGAAAAUAUAUCUAUUAAAGAUGCCAAGGACAUGGAUAAUCUGUAUGGUUUAUUUCAACUACCCCUAUCCAUUCAAGCACAUCAGCAAUUUCAUCAGCUUUCUGGUGAAUUAAAUGCCAUCAGAGACAACCAGGAUCAUGACAUUUGGAAUUUCAAUUGGAGCAACAAUAAAAACAUGACAAAGAUGAUAUAUCAAUUUCUUAUGAAGGGUGAAUAUGCUGAUGAUACUUUUAAAUGGAUAUGGAAAUCAUGUUGCCUUCCUAAACACAAAUUUUUCUGCUGGCUUAUGCUUAAUGACAGGAUAAACACAUGUGAUCUCUUAACUAGGAAGAGCAUGCAUAUUGAUUCCACUACAUGUGUGUUGUGUAAUGCUGAAGACAUGGAAGAUAGAAUGCACCUCCUCUUCACUUGUCCAUUUAGUCAAGGUUUUUGGUGGGAUAUUGGAUUUGAAUGGAAUUCAGACUUGGAUAUUCACAGAAUGAUCAUGGAUGCCAACCACAGAUACAAAAUCAAACAUUUUAUGGAAAUUAUGAUAGUGGGUUGCUGGAGUAUUUGGAACCAGAUAAAUGGGAUGAUAUUUGAGGGGAUACCAUGCUCAAUUAAUGAAUGCAAAUAUGAUUUCAUCAGAUCUUUCAAGAUUACCAUUGAUGAGAGCCAAGCCAUCUCUGAAUGAUGGCAUGUCAUCCUGGAUUGACAACAUUUAAAUUUAAUAAUUUAGAUUUACCUUUUUCUUACCAUUUACAUUUAUGUUGUAAUCCUCUCAUCUUUGGUUGUUUCCCCAACAACCACUGUAAGACAUUACAUUCUAUUUCUCCUUCAUUAAUGAAAAAUGACACACAGCAGGGUUGUUGCCCUACUGUUCUUUGUUCAAAAAAAAACUUGGAAACCAAACAUGAACUAAAUUUCAGUGAGUGAAAUCGCCGGGAGAUUUAUUUUAGCAAAAUAUAUGACAUUGCCUGCUCAUAUAGUUCAGUAAUUUAGUAUUUGAGCCCACAUGUUAUGGAUGUACAUCAUUUUGUUUUCGACUAAUCGAGUAACUAUAACUUUACAAAAAAAAUAUGUCAUUAAAUUUUAGUCUAAGGAAUAUUUUAUAGGAAUAUUAAUUUAUUAGAUAAUAAAAAGUAUUCUAAAACUUAUAGUUCCCAUGUUUGUUUCCAUGCGACAUGGACAUUAUUGAUUAUUCAUGUAUAUUUCAUAUAAGAAUCACAUGUCAUAUAGAAGUUGACCAAAAUCAAAGGAAUUAAACAAAAUAUGCAUUUUUCCUUCAUAUCAUAAAAUCAUAUGUCUAUAUGAUAAAGCACAUUACGAUAAAAGAAAUGAUAUGCUCGAAUUCUCACAAAAAAUGCAAAUUAUUGUCAUGUGUGGUGUUGAAAAAUUGCAUAAAAAAUUCCCAACUUAAAAAAUAUGGUUGUUAAUAUGGUUUCUUUUUCCACAAUGAUGUGACUCCAUCCAUUUCCUAUGAGUUUAUACUAAAAGAAGAUGGAAGUCAAAAGGGGGAGAGAGACAUAAGUUACAAAUUCUCACAAAAUAAAAAUAUUUGACCUUUAAUUUGGUAAAUCUUUUAUUAAGUAAAGGCUGCAAACCCAUAAUUUUUCAUAUGUCAGUAACAAUAUGCAAACUCACAGUGCCAGCAUUGUAAUCAUGCAUAGUCUAUUCAAUGUUAUGCAGUCAAAUAUAUGUGUGUUUUAUUAAAACAAUGUUAGUUUCCCUUGACUUUCUAUUUAGUUAGUUAGUAUUCAGCCGUCAUGUGGCUUCGGCAUUGAAUAUGUACUCAUAGUUUCACCUCAACAGAUCAAAUGGUAGAUAAAGUGCUCAAAAUCUAACAACAUAUACAUCUUCAAGAUUAUACAUAAAAUAUUUUCUAUGAAUAUAAAAAUAAACAAAUUGAACAUAUUAAAAAAAUGAAACUUCAUUUUUGGGUCAUAAUAUCUGAAUUUUUUUCAACUAACUAUUUUUAAGUGAAAGUACUAAAACUCACUGCAUAAUAAAUUGUAGCGUGGUAUGACAUUAGGUUCAGAUUGUUCAUGUUUCAAUGCAGAUGUGGAAAGAGAACUAUUGGAUUUUUGUUUAUAAAAAAAUACAUUAUAAUGCAUCAUGGCAAAAAUGGCGCAAAAUUUGGUACAAAUACAGUUUGCGCAAUGCAACUGGUCAUAAAAAUAGAGUUAGUACAACAAGCAUAAUAAGAAGGUAAAAUAUAAAUUGAUGACAUAUAUAAAUAAAAACCAAACACGCCUAAGACAAAAUUAUGUUCACGAAGUGUUGUAUUUGCAAAUCUCACUACAUUUGGUUCCCAUUUUUAUCUAGAAAAAACAAAUAAUAUAUUAUCACUAUUAAACUUUUAAAUUUCUAGCAUGCGCAUCAAGGUGGGCACUUUGCUAAUUCUCUAAAAAAGAAAAUACUGAUCAAUAUUAUUCAUCCAGACAUAAGCUACAAGAAAGAUUACCAGGUACACUAACCAGGUUCAUUUCUAUAGUUCUUUUAUAUUCAGCAUUCCUGACAACUAAUUUCUUAUCAGAACCACACAGCUCGGUGAGCCUCUUGGCUAGGUGAUCGUCAAUAGCUUUAUUCCUGGUGUUAAUGGGGAAAGGCAUCGUCUCAUUUUUUUUAUAAAAUCCUCCAGAAUCCAAGAAAUAAGUACAGAAGGGAAUUAAAAGGCUUGUCAAAUAUAAUGCAGGUGUCUAAAUCAGGAAAGGAGUCCGGGAAAUUUAAUAGCCCUGCAUCGAGCAUAAAGCAUAGUACUACCUAAGUGUCUAUUUGUACGAUUCUCUUAGUGGUGCUCCCAAAAUAUUCAUGCCUAGAGAUAGAUGUUAGUAUUUUCUAUAAUAGUCCAUUGUGUUAUUCUUGGUAGAGUACAAUGUCACAGCUCAUUCAUCCCUACCUAAGAUAAUGUAACCACUCACCUGGUAGAAAUUUGUGCAUAGCAGUACGCAAUUGGGUCCCAACCAGUGCUAGUUGAUCUUUUAAGGGUCCAUUAGAAGAUGUUUAGCGACUGAAGAGAGUGCAUAAAAUGGCACUAAAACCAUGGCGAUGGGUAUGCACAUAGCUUGUAGAGAGACAAUGUUGCAUGCCUUAUUGCCUAGAUCAAGCGUGGAAGUUUCUUAUUUUAGGAUUUCAGGAGGUUAUCACGCAGUAGAUCAAGCGCGGCGUGGUGUUUCUCUAGGGCAUGUGUUGUGCGCUGCUGUUGCAACUACUACUUUGGGCCUGUCCAGUACAGAUCUCAGCACAUACCUGCGGCCUCCUUGGUUUCGCCCCCCCUCAGGGCCGGGAUUGUAGCUUUUGGAAGUUUCUAUGGACACUGUCACUUCCAUUGUGCAUUCAAGUCACAUGGUAUAUCAAGAUUUUCCAUGUUUUUAAUAAGUUUUAGCAAGUUCUAAUAGAAAAAUUCAGAAGUUCCAACUAAACCAAGAACUAUUUUAGGUCGUGUACCUUAAUUAAGUAGAUUGUUAGUUCUACAAUGGUGGUAACCAAUGCGGUUACCACCAUGGAGAAUGAAGGGAUUAUAGUGGUUGACUUCUAGCCUGCUUUUGAUAGCGAUUUGCACCGGUUGAUAAGGUGUCAUGACAUCAAAUAUCUCGAUGUGGCGAUACUCUGCCACCACUCGAUGUACACCUGUUUUCUUAGACUUCUGUCGAAUGGUAACCAUGACCACCUUGGUUUCCCUGAUAGCUGCCGGAGUUACCGCGUUGAUCUCCACCGGUGUCAUCCGGACGAUCUCCUUAGUGAUGUCGCACCGGAAGACACCACAAUCUGUUUGAACCAUACCUGAGGGGAGGGUCAUGUUGAUAUCUCUGUGGAAGAAGACGAUGUUCUCGCUGCCCCACAUGGGCCAAACACCAUCCCUGAUGAAGACCUUGCGCCGCAGGCCACCUUGUGCCCUUCUGUCCAUGUUCAUGACUACAGUGUCAGUCUUCAGGUGCUCAAUCUCGCCGGUCCACGUGUUCCAUCCAAAUUUGACCACCGCCACCAUCUUCACAGACGGUGACACCACGGGGCUCAGAUCAUAUUGAUCUGUAGGAAUCACUAGUGCAGAACCAUGCUAUAGCACCGGUUUGUAAUGGCCUUUAGUGCCAGUUCUGCAACCAGCACUAAAGGGUGGGGACUAAAGGUCCCCCCCCCCUUUAGUACCGGUUCGGCACGAACCGCCACCAAAGUGCCACCACGUGGCACGAGCCAGGGCCAGGUGAGGGGUGACCUUUAGUACCGGUUGGUAACACAACCUGUACUAAAUGUUUGGGGGGUUUUGGUUUUAUUUCCCUUUAGUUUUGUGUUUUCAAUUUAAUUUAGAGAUUGUUUUUACAUUAUAAUGAGUUGUUAAAUCAUUAGGUGAAAGUACCGUAGAUUAGUUUCAACUGGAUGCAUGCAUGGAUCCUAGCUAAGUGAUCAAAGUAUAUAUGCCAUAUCCAUAUUACUUGAUCACUUAUAUAUUAGGUGAGCAAGUAAUAUGGAUAUGGCAUAUACUUGAUCACUUAGCUAGCUAGGAUCCAUCCAGUUGAAACUAAUAUGCGGUUUCUUUCAUAAAUGAUAUAAUAACUCAUCAUCAUCAUAUUAAUAUAAAAACUAUUGCAUAUUAUAUAUAUCAUCACAAACAAGUUAACGGUAUACUAGCUAGCUAAAAAUUAUUAUAGUCGUCAUUACCACUAUUUAAUCAUCAUAGUCAUUACCGCUAUCUAAUCACCACCAAUACCAGCUUAAAGAAGAAACAUUCACUUGUACCAGAAGGAAAGAUAUCAUCGAGUUCAACAUGAUCACUCUUUGAGAUUAAGUUCAGGACGAAGAACACAGACAUGAGAGGACAAGUACUAAGAGCAUUGUAAUCACUCAUGUUGCUCUCUCUCAGGUAAAAUAGCAUAGAACAUGUAUAGCUCUCCUGAUUCAUCAUAUUGGAGCAUGUAGAUGAACCUGUCUCCUAAUCAUGGGCUACGAUUCUGAUUGAUGCCCCCUAGUACUUCUCUGUGAUCAUGGACAAUUUUGCUCCAGUCUUUCACUAUUAAGCAUUCCUUGCUAUUAGAAAUCAUGAAUGCACUAAAGUGCAUUGUAGGAUGUCUUGGCCGUAAGCUAACUAUUCUCAUGCGACCUUUAGUCUCGAUCCACUGAGGCACAACAUUCAUCAGGAGUCCCUGUUGAAGAACAUCGUAUAGUAACAUACUUAGCAAUGAAGUUUAGCUUAAAAAAUAAUGUAUGCAAAAGAUGCACUGAGGAAAAAUAGUAAAAAUCUUACCAUCUUUCCUAGAUAGAUGUGACCAUAGUUCAAUACGAUCAUUAUUGGUCGCACGUUUUGAGUACUAAGAUUUUCAAAUUCAGGAAAAUAAUUUCUCUUGAUAGCAUCAAGAUCCUCAAGCCAUGAAACAUAAUGACUUAUCUCCUCACAGUUUAGUUCAGCCCUGGGAUAGUGGACGGUCCUGUCUACCAAGCGAUGGACAUGUUUGCUUGAAUGGAAAUAAGUUGUCAAUAGAAAUUAGUUGUCAACUAUUUUUUGAAAAAAAACAAUAUCAAAGACAUAAAUAUGCAUGGUUGAGAAACUCACAUAAUGGUAGAACUGGAGGCGUCUGCACAUCGACCCAAGUGUCUCUAUUACCUUCAAUAUCAUCUUUGGGACGAAUAUCAAAGGUGAUAAACAUAUCAGGCUCAAAUGUAUAAGUCUUGCAUAGUGCUUGCCAAGUUUUGCAUUCAAAAUGGGUGUAGGUGUCUUGAUUGUAUAAUUUGAAGUUGAAGGUAUAAUCAUGCUUGGUCUUCAAGUAAACUCUUUUUACCUCCAUAGUUUUGUUUAGACUGAAACCUAUCUUAUCCAAGACAAAAAUUCUUGCAUGGCAGGGGAUGCGCUAGUAGACUAGUGAAAAUUAAAAUAAUAAGUUGAAGCAACUGAAGCAUAUAUAAGUCAUGCUUAAUUACGAAAAAAUACUUGUCGUUGUGACUUACUGUAUCCACUUUGAAGGUCUCAUCCAGCUUAAUGCUAAAGCGUCUAUCAUCAACUAGGAAAUUUUUGUCGCACAGGCCACGUUGGUCUUCAUAGUCUUCGCACAUAAUGAAAUCGUUUUCGUCGUCAGACAACAUUUCCUAUGUUCAUAGGUGAAACAUUAAACACUUAUUAGUUAUAUUAAUCCAAUUAAACUAGUUCUAUUAAUUCAACUAGGUAGUUCAACUAAUCAAUUCAACUAAGCACUUACUAAAAAUAUACCUAAAUAAAAUAUAGCUCCUAAUUCAACUAAUUCAGCUAACUAGUUCAACUAAUUCAACUAAACUAGUUCUAUUAAUUUUCUUACUAAAAAUAAAGUAGCUAGUUCUAUAUACUAAAAUUUUAAAUAGAUGAUCAAAUCUCAUAUACCUAAAUUUAUUAUAUAUUAAUUCAUCUAACACUAAUAUAAAUUCAUCUAUAACUAAAAGUAUAAAAAACUAACUCAUCUAACAUUAUCUAAUUCUUAUAUAAUCUAACAUUUUUACAUUAAAUAUUUGUGUGUGUGUGUGCAUGUGUGUGCGUGUGUGCAUAUGUGUGCACAGGAUGCCGCCGGUGAGCGGUAGGGGGCCGGCCGGGGCACGCGAUCNNNNNNNNNNNNNNNNNNNNNNNNNNNNNNNNNNNNNNNNNNNNNNNNNNNNNNNNNNNNNNNNNNNNNNNNNNNNNNNNNNNNNNNNNNNNNNNNNNNNNNNNNNNNNNNNNNNNNNNNNNNNNNNNNNNNNNNNNNNNNNNNNNNNNNNNNNNNNNNNNNNNNNNNNNNNNNNNNNNNNNNNNNNNAUGCCCUAUAGGCAAUAAUAAAGUUAUUAUUUAUUUCCUCAUAUAAUGAUAAAUGUUUAUUAUUCAUGCUAGAAUUGUAUUAACCGGAAACAUAAUACAUGUGUGAAUACAUAUACAAACUUAAUGUCACUAGUAUGCCUCUACUUGACUAUCUCAUUAAUCAAAGAUGGUUAUGUUUCCUAACCAUAGACAUGUGUUGUCAUUUGAUUGAAGAGAUCACAUCAUUAGGAGAAUGAUGUGAUUGACUUGACCCAUUCCGCUAGCCUAGCACUUGAUCGUUUAGUAUGUUGCUAUUGCUUUCUUCAUGACUUAUAUAAAGUUCCUACAACUAUGAGAUUAUGCAACUCCCGUUUACCAGAGGAACACAUUGUGUGCUACCAAACGUCACAACGUAACUGGGUGAUUAUAAAGGAGCUCUACAGGUGUCUCCAAAGGUAGAUGUUGAGUUGGCGUAUUUCGAGAUUAGGUUUUGUCACUCCGAUUGUCGGAGAGGUAUCUCUGGGCCCUCUCGGUAAUGCACAUCACUAUAAGCCUUGCAAGCAAUGUGCCAAUGAGUUGGUUAUGGAAUGAUGCAUUACGUAACGAGUAAAGAGACUUGCCGGUAACGAGAUUGAACUAGGUAUUGGAUACCGACGAUCGAAUCUCGGGCAAGUAACAUACCGAUGACAAAAAGGAACAACAUAUGUUGUUAUGCGGUUUGACCGAUAAAGAUCUUCGCAGAAUAUGUAGGAGCCCAUAUGAGCAUCCAUGUUCCGCUAUUGGUUAUUGACCGGAAACAGUUCUAGGUCAUGUCUACAUAGUUCUCGAACCCGCAAGGUCCGCACGCUUAACAUUACGAUGACAGUUUUAUUAUGAGUUUAUAAGUUUUGAUGUACUGAAGGUUGUUCGGAGUCCCGGAUGUGAUCACGGACAUGACGAGGAGUCUCGAAAUGGUCGAGACAUAAAGAUUGAUAUAUUGGAAGCCUAUAUUUGGAUAUCGGAAUCGUUCCGGGUGAAAUCGGGAUUUUACCGGAGUACCGGGGGGUUACCGGAACCCCCCCGGGGGUUAAUGGGCCUACAUGGGCCGUAAGGGAGAAGAGGAGGGCCGGCCAGGGCAGGCCGCGCACCCCCUCCCCCCCAUAGUCUGAAUAGGACAAGGAAGGGGGGGGGGCGCCCCCCUUUCCUCUUUCCCCCUUCCCCCUUCCUUCUCCAACAAGGCAAGAGGGGGAAGUCCUACUCCCGGGGAGUAGGACUUCUCCAGGCGCACUCCUAGGGGGCCGGCCGCACCUCCCCCUCCCUCCUUUAUAUACGGGGGCAGGGGGCACCUCUAGACACACAAGUUGAUCUUCGUGAUCGUUCCUUAGCCGUGUGCGGUGCCCCCCUCCACCAUAUUCCACCUCGAUCAUAUCGUUGCGGUGCUUAGGCGAAGCCCUGCGUCGGUAGAACAUCAUCAUCGUCACCACGCCGUCAUGCUGAUGGAACUCAUCCCCGACACCCUGCUGGAUCGGAGUCCGGGGAUCGUCAUCGAGCUGAACGUGUGCUAAACUCGGAGGUGCCGUACGUUCGGUGCUUGGAUCGGUCGGAUCGAGAAUACGUACGACUACAUCAACCGCGUUGUCAUAAUGCUUCCGCUUUCGGUCUACAAGGGUAUGUGGACACACUCUUCCCUCUCGUUGCUAUGCAUCACCAUGAUCUUGCGUGUGCGUAGGAAUUUUUUUGAAAUUACUACGUUCCCCAACAGUGGCAUCCGAGCCAGGUUUUAUGCGUAGAUGUUAUAUGCACGAGUAGAACACAAGUGAGUUGUGGGCAAUACACGUCAUACUGCUUACCAGCAUAUCAUAUUUUGGUUCAGCGGUAUUGUUGGAUGAAGCGGCCCGGACCGACAUUACGCGUAUGCUUACGCGAGACUGGUUUUACCGCCGUGCUUCGCACGCAGGUGACUAGCGGGUGUCUAUUUCUCCAACUUUAGUUGAACCAAGUGUGGCUACGCCCGGUCCUUGAGAAGUUUAAAACAACACUAACUUGACGAACUAUCGUUGUGGUUUUGAUGCGUAGGUAAGAACGGUUCUUGCUCAGCCCAUAGCAGCCACGUAAAAUUUGCAACAACAAAGUAGAGGACGUCUAACUUGUUUUUGCAGGGCAUGUUGUGAUGUGAUAUGGUCAAGACGUGAUGCUAUAUUUUAUUGUAUGAGAUGAUCAUGUUUUGUAACCGAAGUUAUCGGCAACUGGCAGGAGCCAUAUGGUUGUCGCUUUAUUGUAUGAAAUGCAAACGCCCUGUAAUUGCUUUACUUUAUCACUAAGCGGUAGCGACAGUCGUAGAAGCAAUAGAUGGCAUAACGACAACGAUGCUACGAUGGAGAUCAAGGUGUCGCACCGGUGACGAUGGUGAUCACGACGGUGCUUCGGAGAUGGAGAUCACAAGCACAAGAUGAUGAUGGCCAUAUCAUAUCACUUAUAUUGAUUGCAUGUGAUGUUUAUGCUUUAUGCAUCUUAUCUUGCUUUGAUUGACGGUAGCAUUUUAAGAUGAUCUCUAAAUUAUCAAGAAGUGUUCUCCCUGAGUAUGCACCGUUGCAAAAGUUCUUCGUGCUGAGACACCACGUGAUGAUCGGGUGUGAUAGGCUCUACAUUCAAAUACAACAGGUGCAAAACAGUUGCACACGCGGAAUACUCAGGUUAAACUUGACGAGCCUAGCAUAUACAGAUAUGGCCUCGGAACAUGGAGACCGAAAGGUCGAACGUGAAUCGUAUAGUAGAUAUGAUCAACAUAGUGAUGUUCACCAUUGAAACUACUCCAUCUCACGUGAUGAUCGGACAUGGUUAGAGAGAUGUCUGUCUAAGUGGGAGUUCUUAAGUAAUAUGAUUAAUUGAACUUAAAUUUAUCAUGAACUUAGUACCUGAUAGUAUUUUGCUUGUCUAUGUUUGUUGUAGAUAGAUGGCUCGUGUUGUUGUUCCGUUGAAUUUUAAUGCAUUCCUUGAGAAAGCUAAGUUGAAAGAUGAUGGUAGCAAUUACACGGACUGGGUCCAUAACCUGAGGAUUAUCCUCAUUGCUGCACAGAAAAAUUACGUCCUGGAAGAACCACUGGGUGCCAGGCCUGCUACAGAUGCAACUGACGACGUUAAGAACGUCUGGCAGAGCAAAGCUGAUGACUACUCGAUAGUUCAGUGUGCCAUACUUUACGGCUUGGAACCAGGUCUUCAACGACGUUUCGAACGUCAUGGAGCAUAUGAGAUGUUCCAGGAGUUGAAGUUAAUAUUUCAAGCAAAUGCCCGGAUUGAGAGAUAUGAAGUCUCCAAUAAGUUCUAUAGCUGUAAGAUGGAGGAGAAUAGUUCUGUCAGUGAACACAUACUCAAAAUGUCUGGGUAUAAUAAACACUUGAUUCAACUGGGAGUUAAUCUUCCUGAUGAUAGUGUCAUUGAUAGAAUUCUUCAAUCACUGCCACCAAGCUACAAGAGCUUCGUGAUGAACUAUAAUAUGCAAGGGAUGAACAAGACUACUCCCGAGCUCUUCGCAAUGCUAAAUGGUGCGGAGGUAGAAAUCAAGAAGGAGCAUCAAGUGUUGAUGGUCAAUAAGACCACCAGUUUCAAGAAAAAGGGCAAGGGGAAGAAGAAGGGGAACUUCAAGAAGAACAGCAAACAAGUUACUGCUCAAGAGAAGAAACCCAAGUCUAGACCUAAGACUGAGAUUGAGUGCUUCUACUGCAAGCAGACUGGACACUGGAAGCGGAACUGCCCCAAGUAUUUGGCGGAUAAGAAGGAUGGCAAAGUGAACAAAGGUAUAUGUGAUAUACAUGUUAUUGAUGUGUACCUUACUAAUGCUCACAGUAGUACCUGGGUAUUUGAUACUGGUUUCGUUGCUAAUAUUUGCAACUCGAAAUAGGACUACGGAUUAGGCGAAGAUUGGCUAAGGACGAGAUGAUGAUGCGCGUGAGAAAUGGUUCCAAAGUCAAUGUGAUCGCGGUCGGCACGCUACCUCUACAUCUACCAUCGGGAUUAGUUUUAGACCUAAAUAAUUGUUAUUUGGUGCCAGCGUUGAGCAUGAACAUUAUAUCUCGAUCAUGUUUGAUGUGACACGAUUAUUCAUUUAAAUCAGAGAAUAAUGGUUGUUCUAUUUAUAUGAGUAAUAUCUUUUAUGGUCAUGCACACUUACAGAGUGGUCUAUUUUUAUUAAAUCUCGAUAGUAGUGAUACACAUAUUCAUAAUGUUGAAGCCAAAAGAUGCAGAGUUGAUAAUGAUAGUGCAACUUAUUUGUGGCACUGCCGUUUAGGUCAUAUCGAUGUAAAGCGCAUGAGGAAACUCCAUACUGAUGGACUUUUGGAAUCACUUGAUUAUGAAUCACUUGAUACUUGCGAACCGUGCCUCAUGGGCAAGAUGACUAAAACACCGUUCUCCGGAACUAUGGAGCGAGCAACUGAUUUGUUGGAAAUCAUACAUACUGAUGUAUAUGGUCCAAUGAAUAUUGAGGCUCGCGGCGGGUAUCGUUAUUUUCUCACCUUCACAGAUGAUUUGAGCAGAUAUGGGUAUAUCUACUUUAUGAAACACAAAUCUGAAACAUUUGAAAAGUUCAAAGAAUUUCAGAGUGAAGUAGAAAAUCACCGUAACAAGAAAAUAAAAUUUCUAUGAUCUGAUCGUGGAGGAGAAUAUUUGAGUUACGAGUUUGGUUUACAUUUGAAACAAUGUGGAAUAGUUUCGCAACUCACGCCACGCGGAACACCACAACGAAAUGGUGUGUCCGAACGUCGUAAUCGUAUUUUACUGGAUAUGGUGCGAUCUAUGAUGUCUCUUACUGAUUUACCGCUAUCUUUUUGGGGUUAUGCUUUAGAGACGGCCGCAUUCACGUUAAAUAGGGCACCAUCAAAAUCCGUUGAGACGACGCUUUAUGAACUGUGGUUUGGCAAGAAACCAAAGUUGUCGUUUCUUAAAGUUUGGGGCUGCGAUGCUUAUGUGAAGAAACUUCAACCAGAUAAGCUCGAACCCAAAUCGGAGAAAUGUGUCUUCAUAGGAUACCCAAAAGAGACUAUUGGGUACACCUUCUAUCACAGAUCUGAGGGCAAGAUUUCCAUUGCUAAAUUCGGAUCCUUUCUAGAGAAGGAGUUUCUCUCGAAAGAAGUGAGUGGGAGGAAAGUAGAACUUGACGAGGUAACUAUACCUGCUCCCUUAUUGGAAAGUAGUUCAUCACAAGAACCAGUUCCUAUGACAACUGCACCAAUUAGUGAGGAAGCUAAUGAUAUUGAUCAUGAAACUUCAGAUCAAGUUUCUAUUGAACCUCGUAGGUCUACCAGAGUAAGAUCCGCACCAGAGUGGUACGGUAAUCCUAUUCUGGAAGUGAUGUUACUUGACCAUGGCGAACCUACGAACUAUGAGGAAGCGAUGAUGAGCCCAGAUUCCGCAAAAUGGCUUGAAGCCAUGAAAUCUGAGAUAGGAUCCAUGUAUGAGAACAAAGUAUGGACUUUGGUUGACUUGCCCGAUGAUCGGCAAGCCAUUGAGAAUAAAUGGAUCUUCAAGAAGAAGACUGACGCUGAUGAUAAUAUAACUGUCUACAAAGCUUGACUUGUUGCAAAAGGUUUUCGACAAGUUCAAGGGGUUGACUACGAUGAGACUUUCUCACCCGUAGCGAUGCUUAAGUCUGUCCGAAUCAUGUUAGCAAUUGCCGCAUUUUAUGAUUAUGAAAUUUGGCAAAUGGAUGUAAAAACUGCAUUCCUGAAUGGAUUUCUGGAAGAAGAGUUGUAUAUGAUGCAACCGGAAGGUUUUGUCGAUCCAGAAGGUGCUAACAAAGUGUGCAAGCUCCAGCGAUCCAUUUAUGGACUGGUGCAAGCAUCUUGGAGUUGGAAUAAACGCUUUGAUAGUGUGAUCAAAGCAUAUGGUUUUAUACAGACGUUUGGAGAAGCCUGUAUUUACAAGAAAGUGAGUGGGAGCUCUGUAGCAUUUCUGAUAUUAUAUGUAGAUGACAUAUUGUUAAUUGGAAAUGAUAUAGAAUUUCUGGAUAGCAUAAAGGGAUACUUGAAUAAAAGUUUUUCAAUGAAGGACCUCGGUGAAUCUGCUUACAUAUUGGGCAUCAAGAUCUAUAGAGAUAGAUCAAGACGCUUAAUUGGACUUUCACAAAGCACAUACCUUGAGAAAGUUUUGAAAAAGUUCAAAAUGGAUCAGGCAAAGAAAGGGUUCUUGCCUGUAUUGCAAGGUGUGAAGUUGAGUCAGACUCAAUGCCCGACCACAGCAGAAGAUAGAGAGAAAAUGGAAGAUGUUCCCUAUGCUUCAGCCAUAGGCUCUAUCAUGUAUGCAAUGCUGUGUACCAGACCUGAUGUAUGCUUAGCAAUAAGUUUAGCAGGGAGGUACCAAAGUAAUCCAGGAGUGGAUCACUGGACAGCGGUCAAGAACAUCCUGAAAUACCUGAAAAGGACUAAGGAUAUGUUUCUCAUUUAUGGAGGUGACAAAGAGCUAGUCGUAAAUGGUUACGUCGAUGCAAGCUUUGACACUGAUCCGGACGAUUCUAAAUCGCAAACCGGAUACGUGUUUUUAUUAAAUGGUGGAGCUGUAAGUUGGUGCAGUUCUAAACAAAGCGUCGUGGCGGGAUCUACAUGUGAAGCGGAGUACAUAGCUGCUUCGGAAGCAGCAAAUGAAGGAGUUUGGAUGAAGGAGUUCAUUUCUGAUCUAGGUGUCAUACCUAGUGCAUCGGGACCAAUGAAGAUCUUCUGUGACAAUACUAGUGCAAUUGCCUUGGCAAAGGAAUCCAGAUUUCACAAGAGGACCAAGCACAUCAAGAGACGCUUCAAUUCCAUCCGAGACCAAGUCCAGGUGGGAGACAUAGAGAUUUGCAAGACCCAUUGACUAAGCCUCUUACACGAGCAAAACAUGAUCAGCACCAAGACUCCAUGGGUGUUAGAAUCAUUACUGUGUAAUCUAGAUUAUUGACUCUAGUGCAAAUGGGAGACUGAAGGAAAUAUGCCCUAGAGGCAAUAAUAAAGUUAUUAUUUAUUUCCUCAUAUCAUGAUAAAUGUUUAUUAUUCAUGCUAUAAUUGUAUUAACCGGAAACAUAAUACAUGUGUGAAUACAUAUACAAACUUAAUGUCACUAGUAUGCCUCUACUUGACUAUCUCAUUAAUCAAAGAUGGUUAUGUUUCCUAACCAUAGACAUGUGUUGUCAUUUGAUUGAAGAGAUCACAUCAUUAGGAGAAUGAUGUGAUUGAGUUGACCCAUUCCGCUAGCCUAGCACUUGAUCGUUUAGUAUGUUGCUAUUGCUUUCUUCAUGACUUAUACAAAGUUCCUACAACUAUGAGAUUAUGCAACUCCCGUUUACCGGAGGAACACUUUGUGUGCUACCAAACGUCACAACGUAACUGGGUGAUUAUAAAGGAACUCUACAGGUGUCUCCAGAGGUAGAUGUUGAGCUGGCGUAUUUUGAGAUUAGGUUUUGUCACUUCGAUUGUCGGAGAGGUAUCUCUGGGCCCUCUCGGUAAUGCACAUCACUAUAAGCCUUGCAAGCAAUGUGACCAAUGAGUUGGUUACAGAAUGAUGCAUGAUGUAACGAGUAAAGAGACUUGUCGGUAACGAGAUUGAACUAGGUAUUGGAUACCGGCGAUCGAAUCUCGGGCAAGUAACAUACCGAUGACAAAAAGGAACAACGUAUGUUGUUAUGCGGUUUGACCGAUAAAGAUCUUCGUAAAAUAUGUAGGAGCCAAUAUGAGCAUCCAGGUUCCGCUAUUGGUUAUUGACCGGAAACAGUUCUAGGUUAUGUCUACAUAGUUCUCGAACCCGUAUGGUCCGCACGCUUAACGUUACGAUGACAGUUUUAUUAUGAGUUUAUAAGUUUUGAUGUACCGAAGGUUGUUCGGAGUCCCGGAUGUGAUCACAGACAUAACGAGGAGUCUCGAAAUGGUCGAGACAUAAAGAUUGAUAUAUUGGAAGCCUAUAUUUGGAUAUCGGAAUCGUUCCGGGUGAAAUCGGGAUUUUAUCGGAGUACCGGGGGGUUACCGGAACCCCCCCGGGGGUUAAUGGGCCUACAUGGGCCAUAAGGGAGAAGAGGAGGGCCGGCCAGGGCAGGCCGCGCGCCCCCUCCCCCCCAUAGUCCGAAUAGGACAAGGAAGGGGGGGCGCCCCCCUUUCCUCUUUCCCCCUUCCCCUUCCUUCUCCAACAAGGCAAGAGGGGGAGUCCUACUCCCGGUGGGAGUAGGACUCCUCCAGGCGCACCCCUAGGGGGCUGGCCGCACCUCCCCUCCCUCCUUUAUAUACGGGGGCAGGGGGUACCUCUAGACACACAAGUUGAUCUUCGUGAUCGUUCCUUAGCCGUGUGCGGUGCCCCCUCCACCAUAUUCCACCUCGGUCAUAUCGUUGCGGUGCUUAGGCGAAGCCCUGUGUCGGUAGAACAUCAUCAUCGUCACCACGCUGUCGUGCUGACAGAACUCAUCCCCGACACCCUGCUGGAUCGGAGUCCGGGGAUCGUCAUCGAGCUGAACGUGUGCUGAACUUGGAGGUGUCGUACGUUCGGUGCUUGGAUUGGUCGGAUCGUGAAGACGUACGACUACAUCAACCGUGUUGUCAUAAUGCUUCCACUUUCGGUCUACGAGGGUAUGUGGACACACUCUCCCCUCUCGUUGCUAUGCAUCACCAUGAUCUUGCGUGUGCAUAGGAAUUUUUUUUUAAAUUACUACGUUCCCCAACAGACGGGGCCGGGGGCGGCGCGACGGGGGCGGCGAUGACGGCGACGGCGAUGGGGGUGACGCGACAACGGCGACGGGGGCGACGCGAGGGCGGCGACGACGGCGACAGGGGCGGCGCACGGACGGGGGCGGCGAUGACAUCGAUGGGGGCGGCUCGACGGCGACGGGGGCGGCGCGGGGACGGGCGCGACGAAGAUGAAGAUGAUAACUGAAAAUUUUCGUAAGUGCUGGUUUUAUAGGGGAGGCCUUUAGUACCGGUUGGAGACAGGAAUCGGUACUAAAGGUUAAAUUUGGCCAGGCGAAGCGGCGGGAAGCGAACUCCUUUAGUACCGGUUCGUGGCUCCACCCGGUACUAAAGACCCACCCUUUAGUACCGGUUUGGGCCACGAACCGGUAGUAAAGGGGGUGCGCUCCCGUUCCGCUAUGCUCAUUGUUUAGUCCCACCUCGCCGCGCGAAGGGCAGCCGCACUGGUUUAUAAACCCAGCCGCGGCUGCUCCUUCGAGCUCGUAUAUAAUGCAGGCCUCUGGGCCUAACUUUGCCGCGCUGCCCUGUGAGCCUGCUGGGCCUUAUGGGCCUGCAUAUGCACGCCCAAGGCCGAGCAGGCCCACUGGGCAGCGCAGAAAUAAUUUUUUCCAUAUAGUUUUUUCUUUUGUGGUUUAUAUAUUUUCUUCUAUUUAUUUGUGAGUAGUUUUUUUUCUGUAUUUAGAGUUUCUUUUAUUUAAUAUUAGUGUGUUUUAUCAUUAUAUUCAUAUUUGUAGUGAUUUUUCAGUUCAUUUUGUAGUGCUUUUCACUUUCACGGUGAUUUAGCUCUGAAAACAAAUCAGUAAAUGCAUCCAAAAUAGCAAAUUAUGUCGGAAAGAGUUGAAAGUAGAUGACGUGGAUUUGAAUUGUGCAUCUGAACGCAAAAAAGUCCGGAGUUGUACUAAGUUAUUAAAAUAUUGAAUAGCCGGUGUAACAGAUGAGUUUUCGUCCGAAACCCUGAUACUUCCUAAAAGAUUGUCCAGUUUGUACAAAAGGAUCCAGUUUUUGCCGUAAUCCUCUCUACUUUUUUGCGCAUGCUAUGCGGGUGAAAUGAUGAUACCUUGCCAAGUUUCAACCUUUUCAGAGUUCAUUUUGUACUGCUUUUCACUUUCACAAUGAUUUAGCUCUGAAAACAAAUCAGUAAAUGCAUCGAAAAUAGCAAAUUAUGUCAGAAAGGGUUGAAAGUUGAUAGCGUGGAUUUGUAUUGUGCAUCUGAACGCAAAAAAAGUCCGGAGUUGUACUAAGUUAUUAAAAUAUUGAAUAGCCGGUGUAACAGAUGAGUUUUCAUCUGAUACCCUGAUACUUCCUAGGAGAUUGUCCAGUUUGUACACGAAGUGCAUCCAGUUUUUGCCGUAACCCUCUCUACUUUUUUGCACAUGAUACGCGUGUGAAAUGAUGAUACCUUGUCAAGUUUCAACCUUUUCAGAGUUCAUUUUGUAUUGCUUUUCACUUUCGCGGUGAUUUAGCUCUGAAAACAAAUCAGUAAAUGCAUCGAAAAUAGCAAAUUAUGUUAGAAAGGGUUGAAAGUUGAUGACGUGGAUUUGAAUUGUGCAUCUGAACGCAAAAAAGUCUGGAAUUGUACUAAUUUAUCAAAAUAUUGAAUAGCCGGUGUAACAGAUGAGUUUUCUUCCGAAACUGUGAUACUUCCUAAAAGAUUGUCUAGUUUGUACACGAAAUGCAUCCAGUUUUUUCCGUAACCCUCUCUACUUUUUUGCACAUGCUAUGCGGGUGAAAUGAUGAUAACUUUCCAAGUUUCAACCUUUUCAGAGUUCAUUUUGUACUGCUUUUCACUUUCACGGUGAUUUAGCUGUGAAAACAAAUCAGUAAAUGCAUCGGAAAUAGCAAAUUAUGUCAGAAAGGGUUGAAAGUUGAUGACGUGGAUUUGAAUUGUGCAUCUGAACGCAAAAAAAAUUCCGGAGUUGUACUAAGUUAUUAAAAUAUUGAAUAACCGGUGUAACAGAUGAGUUUUCGUCCGAAACCCUGAUACUUCCUAAGAGAUUGUCCAGUUCGAACCGGCUCUUGUGUAAACAUGUAAAAAUAUACAUAAAAUACAUUGAUCAGUACCGCCUUUCAGCCAAAAUGCGCUACUGCUACAGAGAAAUACAUCAAAAAUACAUUGAUCAUCAAUGAUCUUUUUGUGUAUAAUCUAAAUUGUCAAUAUGAGUCCUCUCCGGUAGGAACCGGAGAAGACUCAUAUUGCGGCCACAAAUUCUACACAUAGAGUUCAAUGAAGACCAAGUGGUUGUGAUAGUUUGAGAGGUAACAUAUUUAAGGUGGUAAAAACUCUGUUAGCGGAGCGAGAUGGGACUAAAAAACCGUUGUCAACUAGGAACCUCUAGUACCGGUUUGUGGCAUGAACCGGUACUAAAGGUGCCGGUGGGCCCCAGCCUGACCCCAGCCUGCAACAGCCACUUUAGUACCGGUUCGUGGCUCGAACUGGUACUAAAGGGUCGCCACGAACCGGUACUAAUGAUCUCCGCCCCCUAGCCAUUUGGACCAGCACUAAUGAUCACAUUAGUGCCGGUUUUGUUACAAACCGGGAUUAAUGUGCUUCACAUUAGGCCCUUUUUCUACUAGUGAAUAAUGCAUGCUUAUAUUUUAUAUCAUCCGACACUACAUGUGUAACAUGGCAAGUUGCCAGUAUAAUUACUCCAAUUAUUUGGCAACUGUAUGAUCUGUAGAAGUGCAUGCUCGGCUCCCUCAGGCCUAAACAUGGACCAGAAAUGGGUAUUGAACUCAAAACCUCAUGGUUCUGAUAUCAUGCAGAAGUGCAUGCUUCAGCCAAUCCAACCAAAAGACCGAUCUAACGGAAAAGACUAGACAAUACAUUUACAACUCAACAUGAUCCAGUACAUGUUGGUAGCACCAAUCUAGUUAAAACUAGAAUACUUUGUUUUUUUUUCACUAAAACGGAAAAUUGAUUACUUGGGCACCCGAAUUCGAGUUGAAAAUGGCGCAAAUUACCUCGUCUAGCUUAGUAUAUUACUCCUACGGAUGAGGUGGUGUUCCAAACUUCUAAUAAAAUUUCAAAUUACCUGGUAAAGUGAGCCGCUCGGUCUUGUCGUCGGCGGGUCUGGUCUUGUACACGACGGUCCACAGGGCGCGGCGUUUCUUCACGGGCUCCUUGGUGGAGACGUAGAGUCGUAGACCAGAGAAUGGCCGAUGUCAUCGAAGCCGCCCGCGACGCAGGCAAUGUCCUCCAUGCGCUGGCCGGUACAUCGUGAAGAAGGCGAUGCUGCUGCAGCACUCCCCCAUUUUUCUUCUUCUCUUCUACAAUUGUCUUUGUCAGAUCAACAACUGGGAUGCCAGAUUUACAGGGAUAGUGAUUGUCUACUCUUGUUUAAUGGGAGGUGUUUAGGGAGAUGCUUACAAAAAUAAAUCGGAUUUUUCUGAAGCACUGGUGCCUAUUUCUUAGUUAAGCGUCUAUCUUGUACAAAUAAGCAGUGGUACUUAAGAAAAGCCUGGUUUAUUUCUCUAAGGCCUUGUACAAUGGGAGGUGCUUAGAGAGAUGCUUAGAAAAAUAAACCGGGUUUUUCUGAAGCACUGGUGCCUAUUUCUACAGGAGAGACGCUUAGUUAAGCAUCUAUCCUGUACAAAUAAGCAUCAGUGCUUAAGAAAAGUCUAGUUUAUUUCUCUAAGCACCUCCCCUAAGCAUCUCCCAUUGUACAAGGCCUAAGCACCUUCCUUAAGCACCUCCCAUUGUACAAGGCCUAAGUAGUAGUACUCUACUCCUUUAUACUCCCUUCGUUUCAGAAUAAGUGACCCAAGUUUAUAAUAGGAUUACCAAAAAUGUACAAUGUGUUUAGAUGUCUCAAGUUUAUUUGGUAAUACACGUUUAUGUUUUUCAUAUAUAUGAUUCACAUGUUUUCCAAAUAUAUGUUUAGAUGUCUACUUUUCUUUGUAUACAUCAUAAAUAUUUCCUAUACACCAGAUACUUUUUUAGUAGAUGUUACCAUUUUAUAUAUACACAUUUCAAAUUUUAAAAAUACAUGACUAAUAUUUUCUAAGCAUAUAUUUUUGGAUAUCUAUUUUCUCCAUCACAUUGUAUAUUUUUCUAUACUUAGAAUAUUUUAUAUACACAUUUAAUAUUUUCGUAAACUUAUAUUUUUAUGUUUAAUUUUUCAUGCACAUUGUCUAAAAAACUUGUAUACAUUAAAAAAAUUAUAUAUGCAUUAACAUUUUUCAAAUGACUGAUCAACAUUUUUUCCAAACUUUUAAGUAAAGUGUUUUUUGAAAUAUAUAUUAUGAAUAUUUGUAAGCAAAAACAAAAAAAACAAAAAAUAAAGCAAAAGAAACGUUAUCUUAGGCAAGAAAAAUAAAAAAAACAUGAAAAAAUACUCCCUCUAUCCAGAAAUACUUGUCCGAAAAAUGAAUGUAUCUAGACAUAUUUUAGUUCUAGAUAUAUCCAUUUUUAUUUAUUUCUCCGACAAGUAUUUUUAGACGGAGGGAGUAGAAAACAAAGGAUGCAGUGGCCUCCCGCGCUGUCCUGCCCCAUCUGUGAGCUCUCUUUAGGGCGAGAGCUGACUCUGUCUAGUAGGGGUGGGCAUAAAAACCGACAAACUGAACACUGGACCGAAGCUGAAACCGAAAAAACUGAAAGUUCGGUUUUUGGUGUUCCUACAGAAAAAUUCGGUUUUUCACUCUGCUAACCGAACUUGAUUCCUUCGGUUCGGUAGUAUCACGGUUAACCGAACAGGAAACCGAGCAUCCGCGAGGGCACGUGAACCUACAACGAAAGGAGCUGGUAUCGCACUAUUUUUUUAGAAUCUGCUCCCGCGCUAGGCAGGCUUGAGAGGUGGAGCGCUCGCGACAAAAAAUAUUCAUGGGCUAAACCGAGGACCUACAAGCAAGGCCCAAGCUGACUAGCUGUUGUGGGCUUCUUUUUCAAUUGUGAGGCAGUAGUAUACUUGCACGAGGCUAAUUGGUUCGCUGCCAAAUUUUGACAUUGCCAAUAUUUGGCAAGCCAACAAUUGGCAACUUUUUGAGAGGUGGGCAAGAAUCAAUUGGUAGCCAACCAAUUGAGAGCCAAAUUUUUAGACUUGCCAACAAUUGGCAUGUCAAUUAUUGGCACCAAACCAAUUAGGCUUGUAGUACUUACCAAAGCAGCGUCGGCGCUCCCGUGUUGUAGUUUAGUCCCACCUAUGCCAGGAGCAAACAAGAAUGUGGUUAGCUAGGCUAUAUAAGAGUGUUGAUGAAGAGGAUUAAGGCACGCGGCUCAAUAUUAUGUACGUUCGGCAAAUACGGUGUAAACCAAUUACCGAACUGAAAAACUCGGUUAACCGAAUUUUUGGUUAGCUAGUUUUGGAUGUAUUUUUCGGUUUUCAUCUUUGCUGACUGAUUUUAUAAAAAUACCGAAUGGUAGAAACCGAAUUUUCGGUUUAUACCAAAUGCCCAGGCCUACUGUCUAGCGUCAAGUGAGACAUAGUCGCUCCCAUAUGAAUCUGGUGCGAGUUAUAUAGCUCGCUUAUAGAGAUAGACCCUACCCACUGAUACGUCUCCAACUUAUCUAUAAUUUUUGAUUGUUCCAUGCUAUUAUAUUACCUGUUUUGGAUGUUUAUGGGCUUUAUUUUACACAUUUAUAUCAUUUUUGGGACUAACCUACUAACCGAGGCCCAGCCCGUAUUGCUUUUUUUUUGCCUAUUUUAGUAUUUCGAAGAAAAAGAAUAUCAAACGGAGUCCAAACGGAAUGAAACCUCCGGGAACGUGAUUUUUGGAACAAACGUGAUCCAAAGGACUUGGAAUGCAAGCCAAGAAGCAGCCGAGGCGGCCACGAGGGUGGAGGGCGCGCCCACACCUAUAGGGCGCCCCCCUGUCUCGUGGGCCCCUCGGGCUUCCACCGACGUACUUCUUCCUCCUAUAUAUACCCACGUACCCUAAAAACAUCCAGGGAGCCACCGAAAAACAAUUUCCACCGCCGUAACCUUCUGUAUCGGCGAGAUCCCAUCUUGGAGCCUUCGCCGGUGCUCCGUCGAAGGGGGAAUCCACCACAGAGGGCUUCUACAUCAACACCAUAGCGCCUCCAAUGAGUUGUGAGUAGUUUACCACAGACCUUCGGGUCCAUAGUUAUUAGGUAAAUGUCUUCUUCUCUCUUUUUGGAUCUCAAUACCAUGUUCUCCCCCUCUCUUGUGGAUAUCUAUUUGAUGUAACUCUUUUUGCGGUGUGUUUAUCGAGAUUCGAUGAAUUGUGGGUUUAUGAUCAAGUUUAUCUAUGAGAAAUAUUUGAAUCUUCUCUGAAUUCUUUUAUGUGUUAUUAAGUUAUCUUUGCAAGUCUCUUCGAAUUAUCAGUUUGGUUUGGCCUACUAGAUUGAUCUUUCUUGCAAUGGGAGAAGUGCUUAGCUUUGGGUUCAAUCUUACGUUGUCCUUUCCCAGUGACAGCAGGGGCAGCAAGGCACGUAUUGUAUUGUUGCCAUCGAGGAUAAAAAGAUGGGGUUUAUAUCAUAUUGCAUGAGUUUAUUCCUCUACAUCAUGUCAUCUUUCUUAAUGCGUUACUCUGUUCUUAUGAACUUAAUACCCUAGAUGCAUGCUGGAUAGCGGUCGAUGUAUGGAAUAAUAGUAGUAGAUGCAGGCAGGAGUCGUUCUACUUGUCGCGGACGUGAUGCCUAUAUACAUGAUCAUGCCUAGAUAAUCUCAUAAUUAUUCGUUUUUCUAUCAAUUGCUCGACAGUAAUUUGUUCACCCAGUAAUACUAUUUGUCAGAUUCAUUUUAUGUUCAUUUGCUUCAUCUCGUUUUUCAUUUUUCUGAUUCUUUCCUUUUUUUACGCUUUGCAAUAUUAUUAAGAAAUAAAAAAAUACAUAUAUUUCACAAAGGAUUACAACAGUUUUGACAAACAAUAAUGGUACAACUUUCAAAAAGUGUUGAUACCAUUUACCAAUUUUUUCAACAAGUAUUUGAAUUUUUUAACACAUUUUCACAUUUCUUAUUCAUAAACAUGUGUUCCAAACUUCUAUUAAAAUGUUAAUCGAGUAUUUGAAAUAUGUCAAAUGAAUAUCAAAUAAAUGUUUCAGAUGUAUAAAAAAUGUAUAAUGUGUAUGAGAAAAUUAGGCAUCAAAACAUAUAUUUGAUAAAUAUUGAACAUCUAUUAGGAAAAUGAUAAAUCAUGUAUUUACAAAAUAUUAAUCAUGUAUCUAGAAAAUGUUAAUCAUGUACUUGAAAAAUGUUUAAUGUGUACGAAAAAUAUGUUUCUUAUGUAUAUGAAAACUAAAAUCUGUAUGAAAGAAAUUGACAUCAAAACAUGUAUCUGAAAAAAUGUUAACCAUGUAUUUUAAAAGGUUAAAGCUAUAUAAAAAUCUCUUAUGUAUACGAGAAAAGUACAAUAUGUAGGAAAACAAGAGCACAUCAAAAUUUAUAUUUGGAAAAAUUAUUCAAGUAUAAAAAAGGGCAUACAGUAUAUGCAAAAGUUACAAUCUGUAUGAAAACAAUGUGACCUCAAAAUGUAUAUUAAUAAAAUUAAUCCGAUAACUAAAAAAUGAUAAACAUGUAUAAAAAAUUGCUCCUUCUCUCACUAGCCAACCAAUGGUUCAUGAAAAAAACAUAUCCCUAUUUUUAUAGAUUGGAAUCUCAUACUUUAAAAGAUGUUAAAAACCAUGAAAAUAUAAAAAGAUCAUGAAUUUGAAAUCAGUUCAUGAUUUGAAAAAAGUCAGUGAAUUUAAAAAAUGGAAAUUUGAAAACAUAUUCAUUAUUUUAUUAAAAAAAUAUGAACCAAUCAGAAAACCACUCAACUAAAGGAAAAUAGAAAAUAAAAGCAUACGAACAAAGCUUAUAGAAUGUUCCUAAAACUGAAAGAACCAGACCGUUGUUGUUCCCUGCUAUAUGGACCGGUCCGUUAGGAAACUAAUGAUAUCCCACGUGUUACCACAGAAUAAAUAUAUUUCAGUGCGAUUUUUGCUCUGAACUGGUUCGAAGUUAUAGAAUUUUGUCUUCCUAUAAAACUAAUACCCCUUAUAUUUUGGAACUGGUGGAAUAUUUAUUUUUGAUGGGUGGGGUAGAUAAUAGUGUGUUUUAUUUUUGUUUAUAAUGCAUUGAUUUGGUGGGCUCUCAUGGAAAUUUGUGUGUCAGUGGUCGUAUGUAUUACUAUAUUGGUGCUAUAAUAUCACAUGAUGGUGCUUCUUUUCCAAGUAGUGUGAGGGUGCGCUGGAUUGAUAUGUUUUUAUAGGCCGGUUGCUGCUGAUUGAUUGGAAAACACGUUGGUGUGGUCAAAAUCGUAAAAUAAAUCCAAAAUUAAAUACCUCACAUGAAUCAAAGAGCUUCAAAAUUAGUGAACAUAGUGAAUUAAAAUAAUUGAAUGGGCUUGAGAAAGUGUUAACCCGGUUGGAAUCGCUUGACUCAAUUAUAAGAUGAAUAUCUCAAUUCACUAUGAGGCCUUAAAAAAUUAAAAAGAAUAGUGUAUAGUAUAAAAGAAUUGAAUGUGAGAGCUUUGAGAAAUUGUUGACCCCGGUGACCAAUUUUAAUUGAAGACCUUAAUUGAAUGUGAGCUCUUAAAAACUAAGGAGCUUAGUGUUAUAGAGGAUUGCUUCAGCCAGCCUCUGUGAACUGGCCAAAACAGCACCGCAGUGAAGCAUAGGAACGUAAUACCAAGGCCCAGCACGCUGAUUCCUUUAUAGCGUGGCAGGCUUAAUUAUGUGAUCGAAUGAAAUCGGCUCCCUGGCCAAGCCCAAUAACUUCACAAAUAUUUCAGUAUGCAACACUUGACGAUCAGUAGGAAGCAAUUAGUUAACGAGCGAUCUUUCGGAAGCCUCACAACGAUCAGCGCCACUUGGCGCGUUCUCAGCCGUCCACCACAUGUCGUGCUCUGGGCGAUCCCUCCGGAUUUAUUUUUUUUAAUAAUUUUUCAGCAUGCGAUUUUGGCUUUUUAAACAUUUUUUUGGGUUUUUUCGAUGUUUCGGUUUCCUACAGGUCUUCCUUAUCUCAGCCUAUGAGUGCCUACACUACAUGAAAACAAGGAAGCUCAAGGGAAACAGGUGGUGUGCUUUGAAACUUGAUAUGAUGAAAGCCUAUGAUCUUCUAGAGUGGAAUUACUUGGAAAGGGUUAUGUUAAAAUUGGGGAUCAGCCCAAAGUUCAUAGAAAUUGUGAUGAGGUGUGUCUCUUCGGUAUCCUUUUCUGUUAUCUUCAAUGGAGGGAAACAAGAAGACUUCGCGCCAUCGCGCGGUUUGCAGCAGGGAGAUCCUAUAUCUCCAUAUCUUUUCCUACUGGCGGCUGAAGGCCUUUCAUGUUUGCUGAAAUCCACGCUUCCAACUGAGAGGAUACCAGGCAUCACGGUGGCAGCAGGUGCACCGGAGGUAAACCAUCUUAUUUUUGCAGAUAAUAGCCUUCUUUUCUUUAAUGCUACACCGGAGAUGGCAAAACGGGUGGAUGAUCUUCUACAAAGGUAUUGCUCUGCUUCGGGUCAACGUAUAAAUAAAGAUAAAUCAUUCGUUUUCUUUAGCAAGGGCUGUGCUGAAGCCAUGAGACAGGAUAUCAAGAAUGUGUUGGAUGUUCCAAACGAGCAGCUCUCUGAGAAAUAUCUUGGUCUCCCCUCUGAUGUAGGCCAGGCUAAAGAGGGUGCUUUCAAGUAUUUGAAAGAUAGAAUCUAGAAGCAAAUUCAAGGUUGGAUGGAGAAAACUUUGUCCGUUGGGGGCAAAGAGGUGCUUAUUAAAUUUGUUGCCCAAGCCAUCCCUACCUACUCGAUGGCCUGUUUCAAACUGCCUAGAGGAUUAUGCCAACACAUUAACGGGCUGCUAAGUAAGUUCUGGUGGGGCUCAAAAAAGGGAGAGAGAAAGACUGCCUGGGUCUCUUGGGAAGUCAUGACACAACCAAAGUUCAUGGGAGGAAUGGGGUUCAGAGAUAUCGAGCUUUUUAACCUUGCAUUACUGGCCAAGCAGGCCUGGCGCCUCCUACAGGAACCCACCUUGUUGAGUGCAAGGAUCCUCAAGGCUGUCUACUACCCUUCUUCCACCAUCCUUGAGGCAGAAGUGGGCAAUCAUCCUUCACAAGUUUGGCGAUCCAUAAUUGAAGGCAGAGACACUUUGAAGCUGGGACUUGUCAAACGGAUUGGUUCGGGAGAGGACACAAACAUAUGGACUGACAAUUGGAUUCCACGUGAUUUUAAGCUUCGGCCGGUUUGCCAAAAGUCCUUGAAUCCUCCUCACAAGGUUUCAGACCUCAUUGAUUCAGUUAACAUGACAUGGGACCGAGGUGUCCUUGAUCAGCACCUCUUCCCCAUGGAUGUCGAAGCAAUUCUUAACAUCCCGUUAAGCUCAAAAGUCCGUGCUGAUUUUUGGUCCUGGCAUUAUGAGAAAAGGGGUGUCUUCAUAGUACGGUCUGCAUAUAGACUCUUGGCCUCCACAAAGCAACAGCGGACGGACUGGUUAGAGCACAACGAGGGCCACUCGCGCCCCGAGUCAGACCGCCGAUCUUGGGCAAAGUUAUGGGGAGCUACGGUCCCUUCCAAAGUGAGAAUUUUUGCAUGGCGAUUGGCCAAAUCUUCCAUCCCUACAGGAGAAGUUCGCAAGCACCGGAGCAUGGCUGAAACACCGGAGUGCGCCUUAUGCAAAGUGGCGGUGGAUACCUGGCGUCAUUCGCUAUUCGAUUGCAAGAUGGCGAGAUGUGUUUGGGCACUAGCAGAUGAAGAUCUUACGGAAACCAUUGUCUCCAACCGGGCGGACGACGCAAAGUUAUGGAUGCUGUGGCUUGUUGAUACUCUUCCUUCGGCGGAGCUUGCGCGCGUCCUUGUGACGAUGUGGGCUAUUUGGUGGGCACGGCGUCGAGCUAUCCACGAUGAUCAGUACCAAAGUCCACUUAGUACGCACAUGUUCGUUGAGAAAUUUUUAUCAGAGCUGGAGGCGAUCCCAGGCGAGAAGGAACGAUCCAGGGAUCGGAAUGAAAAAUCCAAGGACCGGCAUGCUACGGCCAGGGACUUGCAUGUAAUGGCCAGGGACCUGCAUGUAACGGCUGGGGGGGAAUCAGUGCAGCGCGUCCGGUCAGCUCGGACGACAUGGCUCCCUCCGGCGAAGCAUGAAGUGAAGAUUAAUGUUGAUGGCGGUUUUUCCAAGGUUGGGGACCGAGGUGCUUCGGCGGUGAUCUGUAGGGACAAGCACGACAAGUUUCUGGGUGCUUCUGCGGUUAUUUCUGAAGGUUUGCUGGACCCAACUAUACUUGAAGCCCAGGCGUGCAACGAGGCCAUUGCUCUUGCUGAGGACCUCCAUGUUCACUCCGUGUGUGUUGCAUCGGACUGCCUUGAGGUGAUCACCAAUAUCCAUACUGGAGCCCCUUGUCGAUAUGUUGCCAUCUUGGAGGAGAUCAAGCACAGGAGGCGUUCGAUCCAAGAUACUCAGUUUGUACAUGAGAAUAGGAAACACAAUGAGGAAGCACAUGCCUUAGCUAAGGCGGCUGCUUCUCUCCCUCCCGGGCGCCAUGUGUGGCUUGCUACCCUGCCCGAUAUUAUUUGUAUCCCUAUGUUUCUGAACUUUCAAUAAAGGAUACUUUUAUGCUCAAAAAAAAAGUUAACGAGCGCUCUUUCGGAAGCCUCACAACGAUUAGCGCCACUUGGCGCGUUCUCAGCCGUCCACCACAUGUCGUGCUCUGGGCGAUCCCUCCGGAUUUAUUUUUUUUAUAAUUUUUCAGCAUGCGAUUUUGGCUUUUUAAACAUUUUUUUUGGGUUUUUUCGAUGUUUCGGUUUCCUACAGGUCUUCCUUAACUUUUGGACCAAAACAACAUUAAAAAAACUUGCGCAAAAGAUGCCUUUUUUUCACGAGAGUCAUGGUUUUGCUUUUGUAAGAGGCAUGGCCGUGCCUCUCGGAGACGGAAAAAAAUGCGUUUUUUGGUUUUUUUCCUUCCGCGGGAGGCACGGUUUUGCUUCCGCGAGAGGCACAGCCGUGCCUCUCGGAAACGGAGAAAAAGCGUUUUCUAUUUUUCCCUUCCGAGAGAGGCACAGUUUUGCUUCCACGAGAAGCACGGUUGUGCUUUCGCGAGAGGAACGGUCGUGCCUCUCGGAAACGGAAGACAACACAUUUUCUGGUGUUUUCGCGAGAGGCACGUUUUUGCUUCCGUAAGAGGCAUGGUUGUGCUUUCGCGAGAGUCACAGCUGUGCCUCCUCAGAAACGGAUAAAAACGCGUUUUCUCUCUCUUUUUUUCUUUCGCAAGACGCAUGGUUUUGCUUUCGCAAAAGGCACAGUUGUGAUUUCGUGCCAGGCACGGGCGUGCCUCUUCAAAAAGGGAAAAAACUCGUGCUCCCGGUUCGGUUUUUUAUAAAAAAAAUUUAACAAAACCUGUCAACAUGGGACCUAGUUUUGAAGAUCUCGAAGCGAGGAAUCCAACGGUGAAAAGGGUUUAUGAUUUGGACGCACGGUUUACAAGAUAAAACGUUUUGAAUAAAUGGAUGUAUGAAAAAGGAAAAAACUCACAGGUUGCGGCAAGUAGCGCACAUGCAGCGCGACUUGUCGCAACCUGAAAAGGUGGGAGUGAUCUUUGCACUGAGUGCUCCUCAAUUAAUGAUUUCACGCUUGAACCGUUCAAGUAAGCACCCCUGCAAGGGCCUUGCCCAGCAUAGUCACGGAUGCACGAUAGCUAGCAACUUGUGUGUUUUUCUUUCUCGCUUUAGAUUUUUCUCUCUUUGUUUUUAUUUUAAUUUGAAAAAAGUAAAUGAAUACGAUAAUAUUUUCACAAAUAUAAAAAUUAUGCUAAUUCCAAAUCUUUUCACAAUAUUUAAAAAAUCUUAACAAAUUUAAAAAUGUUCGUGAAUUUGAAAACUAAAUUACAAAAUUCAAAAAAGUUUGCGAAACUACAAUAAAAUGUUCAUGAGUUAAGAAUGAUAUUGAAUUUGAAUUUAUUUUGAGAGUUUGAUUAUUUUUUCAGAAAUCUUCAUUGAUUCAAAAUACUUCACAUAUUAAAGUGUUAGUGAAUUUGAAAAAAAUAUAUUGAAUUAGAAAAUGUCCAUGAAUUUAUAAAAUGUUAAGGAAUUGAAAAAAAUGUUCUUUAAGUCCCAUGAUCUCUCUUGAUCUGUAAAUCAAUACAGAAAUUAGUGGCCUCUGUCUGACAAAAAAAUUCAAACAUCCAAAAAUUGUUACUGAACUGGGAAAAAUAUUUGUGAAUUAGAAAAAAAAAUCACGAACUAAAAGAAUGUACGCGAAUUUGACUAAUCCUCGCCAAUUAAAUAGGAAAAAAUAAAAAAAAGGAAAAAAGGAAAAAGAAAGAGAGAAGUGAAAAAAAAAUCAGGAACCUUCCCAAAACAAGACGGAAUGUUUCAUAACUUUCCUAAAACGGGUUGAAAUCUUGUCGCAUCGAACCGCUGCCUUCCCCAAAUGGGCAGUGCUAGUGGACGACAUGCAUCUCUAUAGGUGAUGCAUAACAAAGGUGCGGCAAUCCUAUUACUGUUUCUGCAAACCAGUGUCUGCAGCCGCGUUAACUGGGCUAGGCCCAUCGUUCUUUUUUUCCUAAAUGCAUGGAAAUGAUAAGAACCGUGAACUCCUAGCCACGAGAACGCUAAGCUAACCAACACAGCCACCUCAGUUUUACGUUACCUACAGCUUUUUAUUACUUUUCUUCUAUCUUCUUUCUUUCUUUUCUUUUUUCUUGGAACGGUUUAGUUCGGUUUUUUCUUUUCUGUUCCUUUUUUCUUGGAACGGUAUUUUUCAUUUUUUUUCCCUACUUUUCUCUAAAUGUGUGAACUUUUUCUUCAAAUUAGUGAAUUUUUUGAAAUGCGUGAACUUUUUUUCCAUAAUCAAUGCGUGAACGGUAUUUUUCAUUGGUCCAGCCCAGGCGCAUGCUUGCCCACAACCUCACUUUUUUCAUGUUGCAUAUUUUGUCUUGUUUUGCUAUCUUUUUUAAUUUUUUAUACUUUCAAAUAUUUUAACUAUAUAUAUUAUGAAAAAAGACUGCAUAAAUAUUAGAAAAGUGUUAAUCAAGCAUUGAAAAAUGUUUAAUGUGUAUAGAGAAAUUAUUUAUCACAUAUAGGAAAAAAAAUACAUUGUGUAUGAAAAUUUAGACCAUGCAUUUAAAAAAAACGUUAAACAAGAAUUUGAAAAAAACAUAGAGAAAGUAUAUGAAAUGUUUUAAUCAAGCAUUUAAAAAAUGUUUAACGUGUAUAAAUUGUUGACCAUGUAUUAAAAAAUGUUAAUCAAGCAUUUGCGGAAAUGUUCAACAAGUAUGUCUAAAAUGUUAAUUAAGCAAUUUAUUUUUGAAUGUGUAUAGAAAAAAUGUUGAAUAUGUAUUGAAAAAUGUUAAUCCUGUAUUUCAAGAAAUGUUAACCAUACAUUUCGAAAACGUUGAACAAGUACGUGAAAAAUGUUAAAUAUGCAUAAAAUGAACAUGUAUUAGAAAAAUGUUAAUCUUGUAUUUGAAUAAAAUGUUAAUGAAGCAUUUUAAAAAUGUUACCAAGUAUGGAAAAAUGCUAACCAAGCAUUUAAAAAAUGUUAAAUGUGUAUAUUUUCUAUGUUACUAUGUCUAAAAAAAUGUUAAUCUUGUAUUUUUAAAUGUAGAGCAUGCAUUUAAAAAUGUUAAAAUGUGCAUAGAAACAAGGUUGACUAUGUGUGAGAAAAGUUAAUCUUGUAUGUGAAAAAUGUUACUCAAGCAUUGACAUUUUUUAAAAGUGUGUAUAGAAAAAACAUUGACCAUGUAUUAAAAUAAUAUUAUUCUUGUAUUUGAAAAAUGUUAAUCAAGCAUUUAAAAAAAUAUUGACUAUGUAUUCAGAAAAAGAUAAAUUUGGUUUGCAAAAAAAUUAAAUGUGUAUUAGAAAAAUGUUCUUCAUAUAUACAAUAAAUGUAGAAUGAAAACCAAAGGAAAAUAGAGAAAAUCGAAUAAAAGUGAAGCAAAAAAGAAAGAAAAUAAAAAAUAGUAAAAUCAGGGAAACCGGGAAAAAACCAGUUGAAACCGGGCUAGUUGCGCCUCUAUUAUUUUGCGGCCUACCUGGUCAAAUCGAUUCCAAUUAUCCAGGAGACCAGGGAUCGAUGUUUCUUUUAUUUAAGCGUUCGCGAGUGGUCUGGCCUGUUACUAUAGAUCCUUCACGUGAGAGAUCCUCCGGUCUGGCGUGAAGCGAGAUAUAGCCUUUGCGGGCGAGCUCCACACCAGGUUUGCAAGGGCCUGACCCAUCAUACUCAUGCAUGCACCACAUCCACAAACUUGCAUGUUGCGAACCAAUCUAUGAUUAGAUGGUUAGGUGGACAGUGAUAUGCCUAGCCUAACAGGGUUCAAAUCCCGAUGCUCGCAUUUAUUCUGAAUUUAUUUAAGGAAUUCCGGCGAUGCGGGCUCAGUGGAAGGAGAUGUUCCUGUCGACUAUGAGGCGCCUAUAUUGACUUCAUAAAAUCUCAAGAUGAUAUGUCAGCCCAGUCUUUCAGAGAUGCUCAUACGGGUAGGGUGUGCAUGUGUGCGUUCAUAGGUGUGAGUGUAUGCGCGUACAUAUAUGAGCAUUUGAGUCUGUACUGUGUUCAAAAAGAAACUUGCAUGUUUUUCUUUCUCACUUAAGAUUUUCCGCCCUUUGUUUUUAUUUUAAGUUGAAAAAGUUGAUGAAUAUGAAGAUAAUUGCACCAGUAUAAAAAUUGAAUGUUAAUUUUAUAACUUUUCAUAAGUUUUAAAAUAUGUUAAAAAAUUUAGAAAGUGUUUGUGAAUUUGAAAAACAAAUUCAGAAAUUUGAAAAGUUUGCAAAUCUGCAAGAAAAGUUCAUGAGUUCAAAAAAAAUGCUCUUGAAUUCAAAAAAAAUGUUGAGAGUUAGGAAAAUAUUUGGAUUUCGAAACUCUUCACUAAUUGAAAAUAUUUUAGAUAUUAAUUUGUGUUAGUGAACUUGAAAAACAUAUAUUGAAUUAGAAAAUAUCAAUGAAUAUAGCAAAUGUUCAGGAAUUGUAAAAAAUGUUCUUUAACUCGACAAAAUUCUUCCCACAUCCAAAAAUAGUUCCUGAACAUGGAAAAAUGUUUCGGCAUUUGAAAAAAAAUCAUGAACUAAAAGAACGUUCGCAAAUUUGACUAAUCACCACCAAUUUGAAAGGAAAAAGGAAAAAAGGAAAAAAAGGGGGGAAAAGAAAGUGAAAACUGGAAAUAUAUAGGGAACCUUGCCAAAACUAGGUGGAAUGUUUCAUAACCUUCCUGAAACGGGGCUAAAUCUUGUCGCAAUGAACCGCUGCCUUCCCCAAAUGGGCAGUGCUAGUGGACGAUCCGUUCGAUAGAUAUCUCUAUAGGCGGUACAUAACAAAGGUGCAGCAGGUCGAGCAUUGGACGGAAUGCAAUUGGCAAUCCUUGGUUAAUCGGCCUGGCCGGACAUGACCCGCUUAGAUGGAUGCUCUUCUGGCAACAUGUGGGCACGACUAUACCUCGUUUAUAGCGAGGCAACCUUCUGACUCGCUGAAGUUGCGCAAGCGUAUGGGUCGGCCCAGUGCGCGGUUGAGGGAACCCUCACCUGAGGGGGAGCCCCAGAUGGGCCGGCCCAGGCGCACGCUUGGCUACAUCAUAUUUUUUUUCAUCUUUCUUGGUUUAUUUUUACUUUAAUUUUUAAUGUGUUUAUAGUUUCACAUAUAAUAUUUAUAUAUGUUACAAAAAAAUCUGCAUAAAUAUUUGAAAAAUGCUAAUCAAGCAUUUGAAAAAUGUUAAAUAUGUAUAGAGAAAAUAUUUAUCAUGUAUAUAGAAAAAUGAAUACAGUAAAAUAAAAUGUAUAUGAUCUUUUCAAAAAGUUAAUUAAGCAUUUGACAAAAUGUACAGAAAGUAUGUCAAGAUUUUAAAUCAAGCAUCUGAAAAACAAUUAAAGUGUAUUUUUUUACCAUGUAUUCAAAAAAUGUUAAUAAAGCAUUUGAAUUUUUUAAAUAUGUAUAAAAAAACGUUGACUAUGUAUUAAAAAUAUUAAUAUUGUAUUUGAAAAAACUAAUAAGCAUGCAUUUGAAAAAGUUGAACAACUAUGUGAAAAAUGUUAAUCAAGCAUUUAAAAAAUGUUAAAUAUGCAUAGAAAAAAUGUUGGCUAUGUAUUAGAAAAUGUUAAUCUUCUAUUAGAAUAAAAUGUUAACGAAGCAUUUAAGAAAUGUUGACAAGUAUGUGAAAACUGUUAGUCGAGCAUUUAAAAAUGUUAAAUGUGUAUAGAGACAAUGUUGACUUGUGUUAAAAAUGUUAAUAUUUAUUUGAAAAAUGCAAAUCAAGUAUUCAAAAAAUGUUAAAUGUGGAUAGAAACAACGUUAACUAUGUGUUAACAAAAUUAAUCAUUGUUUUGAAAAUUGUUAAUGAAGCAUUUGAAAAUGUUUAAAAGUGUAUAUAGGAAAAAUGUUGACCAUGUAUUCAAAUAAUGUUAAUCAUGUUUAAAAAAAUAUUAACCAAGCAUUUGAAAAAUAUUUUCCAUGUAUUGUAAAAAUAUGAAAUUUGUAUUGGGAAAAUUUUAAACAUGUAUUAGGAAAAUGUUCUUGACAUAUACAAGAAAUGUAGAAUGAAAACAAAAAGAAACAAAGAAAACCUCCAAAAACGGAAAACAUGGAAAAAUGAAAAAUAAAUUUGAAGAAAUAAAUGCAAAAAGAAUGGAAAAACCGAGAAAAAUAUAAAUAAAAAAUAACAAAAAAAUUUAAAAACAAGAAAGAAAUAUAAAAAGUGAAGAAAAAAGAGGGAAAAUGAGUAAGAAAAGAAAAUUAAUUAAGAAAAUAAAAGAAAAAUAAAAAAUAAAAAACAUCGCAGAAGGUAUAAGGAAACCAAACACAAAAAUAAAAUAAUAAUAAUAAAUAAAUUGAAAAGUAGAAAAACCCAAAUAAAAAUGAAGCAAAAAAGAAAGAAAAGUAAAAAAUAGUAAAAAAGGGGAAACCAGUUGAAAGCUAGUGUCGCCUCUAUAUUUCACAACCUACUUCUUCAUAUGAAACCCGAAGCGAGCUCGGUGACUAGCACCGCUUCGGACUAUCCAGGAGACCACGGACCGAUGUUUCUUUUAUUUAAGCGUUCGGAAGUGGGCCGGCCUGUUACUGUAAAUGCUUCUUCAUGUGAGAGAUCCUGUGGCCGACCUCCACACCAGCUUUCCCUCAUUGCUAAAAGGAAAAAAAAACAGCUUUCUCUCAAAGAAAUUGAAAAAUCUGAUAACCAGCUGAAGUGGAUCUUGCAUGUCCACAGACAGGCAUGCAUACGCAUGCAGAGAGGCACAUGCCACGCUACAAUGAAUCAAGCUGAUCGAUGGUUUCAGCUAAAAGAAGUGGAUCGGAGGUGGCAAACCGCGACAUGCAUGGGCAUGUGCCGGCGCCGCGAAAGUUGGUUAUUCCCUUGCUUCCUUCAUCCUCGUAUAAAUUUCAUUUCACUUGCCAUGCAUGCAUGGAUGAUGGAUCGGAUCGCAUCCGAGGCACUCAACUCAACUCACGUACUCGGUACAGCACUGCCCACCGGCCGGAAGGCACAUGCACAAGUCGCCAUUGAUUUGAUGAUGGAUCACCCAUGCAUAUCUCCCAACGUGGCGUUGCUCCUCCGCACAGAGACAGCCGGCGUGAACGGAACUACCCCAUCAUCCAAUACAUAUACGGUCAUGACCCCGCUGAUUGGCAUGCGAUGAUGGACACGGCGGCAUGCAUACCCGAAUGGGCAAGUUGAUCCAUCGCUUGCAUGCUCGAUCUAGACCUAACUCUCCGAUCCGUGUGUGUCUGUCCCUAAUCAAUCACUAGAGUGCUGAGGCCGGCCGGCACAUGCAGCUCACCAUCUACACCACAUGUAUACUAGAAUAGAAUCUUACACGAUCGAUCAUCCUAACCGAUCAAGAUUCAAGUGGAAUGAAAGAGACGAGACGGAAAGCAAGCUGGCCGCAUGCAUGGCCCUCCUCCAUAAGUACCCUAGCUAGCUACACAUAGUGCUGGAUCCAUGACGACCAUCAUGCACAUUUGGUCCAGAUUGAAUUUUGUGUUUAGGAAUUGGCCGCCAUGCAUGUGUGCUAAUUCUCUAAUCAACAUCCUGCUUUGCUUAUUACGUUCAUUACCUAAGUGCAUAUAUUAGUUUUCAUGUCCGAUAUAGCCGUCCAAGUCCAACGCACCCAAAGUUUGAUCUCACAAGCACCGAGCCACCAUCAUCAUCCACUCAGUCUGUUUCUCAAUUAUAUAUGCUCCUACGACAUCGUAAACAAUAUGAAUAUACAUUAUCUUCCCCUAUAAUUGCUCCAUAUAUAUAUAUAAAUGUUGAUUCAUUCUGAUACUACACACGCAUGCAUGCCGGUGUGCAUCAUGCCGGCAAUAAUAUACACCACGCCACCUGUGCGCCAAGUCAGCAACAUGCCACUUGGUGAUCUCAAAUGGGCCAGCCAAUCACAUCACCCCUGCAUGUCUCUGCCAGCCUGACACUUCGCGAUCCCAUGAGCCACCCACGUGGCUUCGCUAAUUAGGGAUUCCUGGACCCGACCGGCCAUGGUUGACCCGGAGGAAAGCGACGAGCCAACUUACCACUUGGAGCAAGGCCGACGUGGCACCACGUGGCAAGCCAGUAUAUAUAAGCUUCUUCUCUUCCGUCUAUUGGCUUCGCUUCUCCCACAUGUACUCUAUCGAUGCAUUGUUUUUCUAUUAGAUACAUACAUCAGCGUUAUUGCACUAGUUAAUUGUUGCUUUGAAUCUUGACAGUUUGAUUCCGGUUGGUGGUUGUCAUGUACUCCUACUAUAUUACGGAGAUGGAUAACCCGGAAGCAACCGAUUACGCGAUUGUCGGGCCCCAAACGAUAUCCAUUAUUGCACAUUUUGUUAUUUCAUUGUAUCAGUCGAAAUCGAUGAUGUAACAAUGUAAUUUGUAAAAAAAACAUGUGAUUGAUGCAUGACCGGGGCCAAUAGUUGUCUUCAUGUCGAAGUACCAAGUUUUUUUUCUAGAAGGGAACAUGUGAUUCACGGUCAUCUCUAAUUUGUAAUCGUGUUGAAAAUUUCAACUUCAAGAUAACUUGUAGUUAUCAUGGUGUUUCAUGUUAUCGAUGAGUUAGGGACUUUUCUCACAUGAAAAUAUAUAUUAAUUGUGCACACAGAAAAAUACACUUCCUUCACACGCAUGUGUAAUUUUUUAUUAAUGAAGUCUGGUGGUAACCUCUUCAACAAUCAAUUUUCAAAAGCAGUUACACAAGACGAAAUAGGCCUCGACCUAUUCGGUCUAGGGUUGUCCCAAGCCAUCACCCGAGGCAUCAACAAGAUGACCAGUUUGCAUUGGAUGACAAAUGGUGGUGCAUGGGGAGAGUUCUAGGGAGCUACGUCACCGUUGGCCCAGGGCGGUCCUGAGAUUUUGGGGGCCCGGGGCGAAACUAAAACGCGGGGCCCUUAGUAUAGACAUCAUAAUAAUAACAAUGAAAUAUGUAUAAAUGAAAUAUCUCAAUAGCACUUUAAUGAUUUCAAAAUUAGUAUGUGAAUCAAAUAAUUAAUACAUAUUACCUUCAAAUUUUCUUCUAACAUUUCUCGAUGGAAAAUCACUUAUGAUGGCGUCAAUGUCAAUUUCAUCCAAUAAUUUCUUCUCGUUGCAUAAUGUAGCAAUGGAGAUAUUAGGAUAGCAACCAACUUCACUGGCAUGCUUGAAAAUCUGCAUACUCUGCAAAAAAGAUCUUACAAUAGAAGCAAAACAACUUUGUCGACAUCUUUUCAUUAAACUAGCCACUUUCUAUAAUGUUGCUCUCCAUUGCUUAAUCUCCUAUGACAAUGAGCAUUUGAAAAAUGUCUUCCCGCUUCAUCUACAGAGUGUUCUAUGCCCCCCCCCCCUCGUAGGCCCCUUCUCAACUAAGAUGUCUCCUGCUUUAUUAUCAAGAUUAUCUUAAUUUCUUGGAUCGUAAAUAUCCAGAUUAUGAAUAGGUUAUUGAUAAACACUAGUAGAUUGUGCAUGUGCAUCCAAUGAAUUACCUACAUCUCGAAGCCACUUACAUUGUUAUUGGUGUCAACAUUUUCUUCUCGCUGAUCAUAUUCUGAAAAAUCCCAAUAGUUUACUGCUCUUCCUCUAAGGCAACCAUCUCCAACUAAUCAUCUUGGUUUAUCAAAGCAGUUGAAGCACCAUUAUUACUCUUGAGAAAUUUGUGCAUAUUUCUGCAUUGUGAUUGUACCAAUUUAUCCACAGCCUUCUUACUGUUCCUUUUAUCGCUACUCGAUGCAUACGUCCUGUUGUUUCUGGAGACAUGAUAACACAAGGCUGAAAACAAAAACAAAUGCUGCAUCAAUUGUUGAACGGUACUGGCUUAUGCAUCAAGGAACGGCAAUAUAAUAUACCUGAUGAUCGAUUCGGUGAUGAGCGUUAGUGCGUGUGCCUGCACAAAAUUACAGAUGGGGAUCCCUGGAAUUGAAAUCAAUUGAGAACUAGAUUAGACGUGUCCCUAAGUGCCUAUACAGAAUUACAGAUGGGACACACCGGAAGGAUGCAUUCCUCAUUGUUCCUUUUGAUGGACAAGGCAAGGCGGCGGACGUGCCGGUGAAUAUCAUGCCAAUCUGGGCUCGAUCUAUGAUGUACCACCGCUCAUGUUGUCGGAAGAGAUCGGAUGGAUGUUGGGCGGCCUCUUGGGGAAAGUCUUGAGGGUAGAUACUGAUAAGUUUGGGAACAUUUUCUCUGAGUUUCUUCGUGUAAGAGUUGAACAUAAUGUAAACACUCCUCUCCUGCGUGAGAGCAGUACUAGAGAGUUAGGGCUGGAUAAGCACAUGGACCUAGAGGUCAAGUACGAGAGAGCUCCACGAUUUUGUAUGUACUGUGGGCAUAUAGGUCAUGGGGAAAGGGACUGCAGGCUACCGACCGAUGAUCAAGCAGUGAGAUUCACGGGCGCAAUGAGGGCGUCGCCCUACAAAUCAAGUAAGAACAAGGGAGGCUUCGUGGCUCCGGAUGCUUGCAGCGCCAGGCGAUUCUUGCAUUUUGGUUCAGAGUUGGACGGGGUGGCUUGGACAGCCCCGGCCAAGUUAGCCUGGGAGAAGCUAGGCAGAGACAAGAAGGUGAUGCAUGCCAAAUCACAGGAGAUGGUAAGGUGCAGGGAUAUUCCUGAUGUUGUGCUACUGGAUCCGGCUGUACAAGCAGCCAUCGCAGCAGUAAGCGCGCUCAGAGUGAGCGAGGUGCCGGACCAGAAAGACGCAAGGAUGACGAGUAUCGGCGAAAAUACUGUGACGGCCACGACAAAACCUGUACUGCCCACGGCUUCUACUCCAACCAUAGCCUUGGGUGGCGCGGGCACUUCACCAGCAACACCACCGGGUUCUGGGGCGGGGGCCGACAUCGACAAAACCCUGCUCGCACAUAACAUCGAGGAUGCAGUGACCCCUCCUUACCCGCCAGGGUUCGGACCGGAUGCUGUCAUGGCCACUCCUGACGCUGCUGCCUGUCCCUCCCAAGCAGCGAUGGAAGAGAUAACAGGGAAGGUGCAGGCCUUCGUGGGAGGUGCCAAGGUGGGCGGCUCGGCUGGGCAGGAGGGGGAGCCUGCCUCCCAAAUCAGUAGCCCAGCGAAGACUCAGGCAAUUGAGCUGGCUAAGACCAAAAGGUAUACGAGUCAGAUUAAGGGAAGAAAAGGUACAGGAGAGAAGGAAUCGGUGCUUGGGAAGAGAUACAUAGGAAACAAGGCUGCACCGGGGGUAGAUACAGCUAGUAGACCAGAUGUAAUCUCUGACAUGUAUAAGAAACGGAAAGGGGCUGAGAGGGAAGAGGAUGAGAGAAUUGUAGGAGUGCCAGGUGGUAAGGAAGCUACCGGUGUAGGGGCUACCGGGGAACUGGCGGGCGCGGCUGAGAGCGCCCGUCAGGAGGAAUGACGAUCCUUUGCUGGAACUGUCGGGGUUUGGGCCACCCUGGUACAGUUCGAGAACUUGUGUGCCUAGUGCGCACAUAUCGCCCCACUGUCGUGUUCAUCUCUGAGACGCGACAGUGCGAAGAGAGCGUGAAAAGAAUAACAGAAAGAAUAGGCCUCAAACAUUGUAUCACCCACGAUGGGGUGGGCAAAGGUGCCGGCAUCGCCCUAUUUUGGGACGAUAGCGUUGAAAUAAAUUUGCUCUCUUAUGGACCGCGUUACAUUGAUGUUCAUAUCCGGUAUGAUCGGAGCAGCCCCUUGUGGAGGGGUACUUUUGUAUACGGCGAACCAAAAGCACAUGAGAGGCAUCAUAUGUGGAGUUUACUCAAAAGAAUCAAGAAGAGAUCAAGUGAACCGUGGAUGAUGGUGGGUGAUUUUAAUGAAACAAUGUGGCAAGGGGAGCACUUCUUGGCCGUAAAAAGGUCUGAACGUAACAUGGGUAAUUUCAGAGAAUGCUUGGGGUGGUGUGGACUGUACGAUCUUGGGUAUAAAGGACCGGAGUGGACCUACGAUAAUAAGCAGAGGGGGAGGAAUAAUGUGAGAGCAAGGUUAGACAGAGGGGUAGCUUCAACUGACUGGAAUGAUUUGUUCCCACAAGCACAGAUCCAACAUGUGGUGACCUCGAGAUCACUCCAGGGAACUUCCCCCUGGUUUUAUCGUUGGGUGGUAAUCAGCAAGGGCGCAAAAAUAAGUAUUUCAAGUAUGAGAUGAUGUGGGAGAGAGUUCAGUCUCUGGAGACCACGGUUAGAGAAGCUUGGGGUGGGGAAGGUGUCGCAAAAAACCUGGAAGAUGUAUCGAAGAAACUUAAACAGGUCCAAAAGUCACUAAUGGUGUGGUCUAGGAAGGACUUUGGAGCUGUCAAUUCAAAUAUCAAACGGAAAAGACAACGGCUGAAGGUACUGACAGAAAACCAAAACCAUGGAAAUAAUGAAGAACAAAUUAAACAAACGGCUGCUGAACUAGAUGAACUGCUUGUUAGAGAGGAAGUAAUGUGGCGACAGCGCUCGCAGGCUACAUGGAUCAGGGAAGGGGAUCAGAACACUCGAUAUUUCCACAGGAAAGCCACAUGGCGGCAGAAGAAAAACACAAUAAAAAAGUUACAGAAUAACAAUAGUGUUUGGAUGGAAAAGAAGCAUGAAUUGAGCAGAUUGACCACAGAUUUCUUUAAGGAGCUGUAUACAAAAGAGAAAGGAGUGGCUCCGCAUGAGCUGAUUGAUAUUCUUCCUACUAAGGUAAAUGAGGUGAUGAAUAAUAGUCUGAUCAAGGAUUUCUCUGAAAAAGAGAUUAGCGAUGCCCUUUUCUAAAUUGGACCCCUGAAAGCACCAGGGCCGGACGGCUUCCCGGCCCGUUUUUUCCAACGGAAUUGGGAAAUCAUGAAGAAAGAUGUGAUCGAGGCGGUAAAGGUUUUUUUUGAGAAUGGCAUCAUUGCCGGAAGGAAUAAAUGAUACGUCCAUUGUCCUCAUACCUAAAGGAAAGAACCCAAAGACCUUAAAAGAUUUU
rnacentral:lncRNA from 1 species